rnacentral:lncRNA from 1 species
AAAAAAAAAAAAGAUGUAGGGCAGGACAUGCUAUCCUAACUCAUGUUGUUUGCACCAAACAUAAAAUUAGAUUAAUGUUUGUAAAAACAAUCAAAUGCACCCUCAAGGUAAUUAAUUAAACUAAAAGUUUAUCAAUGCAAUUAUUCAUAGUUAAUUAGUUUCUCUUUAAUUUUUUUACUGUGAAAAAAAUUUCAGCUUACCAGCCCUCUUCGUAAAUUGACGUGCUUCAAUUUAUUAAUUUGGUGAAGUGAACUUGAGCGAUGCAGAUCAGGUAAUUAAUUAAACUAAAACAAGUCCUUGUGUAACAUGCAGAUCAGCUCACUAGCCCUCAAGAUGUAAGCUAGCGGACUGCACAUUCGCUCGAGAAACAUAAUUCAGAGGCAUCAGUAUCCAGGCUUGUGGGCUGUGGCUAUAUAGUCAAUGAAAUUUCUUUUAUUGGUUAUAGCUAAUUUCGGCUGCAGGAAAGAUUAAGCAGUAGGAAAGUUCAUGUCCAGUAAUUUUUGUUGGAAAAUUAACACAUAUAACACUAAAAAAACACACUAUUUUGUUUCUUCAAUAACACUCUUCACCAACUACAACUCUUAUUUUUCACUCUCUACAACUUACAGAUUUUGUUACUUCACUUGAUGCUUAAACCAAAGCGGAGGGGGGUAUUUAUACAUGAAACAAGCUAAUCACAACCAUUCAAAUAAGAAAUUACAAAAAAUUAAUAAUCAUUCAUCUUCACCUACCAAACCCACCACACCUAACACAAAUAAUUCAAACCUCACCAACCAUACCUACUCAUGGAACCUUGCAUGAGUUGGGUUGAAUUUAUUCAUCUUGGAUCAAGUUUAUGAUCCAACAACUUAAAUUUGCUAUAACUUGCUUAUGAACAGCAAGCAGAGCAUAAAUCACAAAAUGCUUUAUAAAAGAUAACGACGAUUUUGUAGGAAUAUUUAAAGCUGGCAAAACGGGUCAUCGGGUCGUGUUCGUGUCGUGUCAAAUUUAGGUCUACCCAAACCCGACCCAUUUAAUAAUCGUGUCAAAAUAUUGAGACCCAAAGCCGACAAGGAAAAAUAAUCGGGUUAUCCAAUAACCCGCUUAAUAUCUAUAUAUUAAACAAAAGUUACAUUAAAUAUUUACACUUUGUCAUACAUAUGUAUGCAUAUACAUACAUACAUCCAUACAUACAUACAUAAUUUAUCAAUAUUAUAAAAUAUACAUAUCUACUAAAAUAUUACACACACUAUUAAGGUUUUAAUUAUAUAUAUGUAAAUAAUAUUAUAUAUCAAUAUUAUAAAAUAUGCAUGUCUACCAACAUGUCUACCAAUAUUUUAUACAUUUACACUAUUAAAGCUCUAAAUGUAUUUAAAAUUUUAUAAAUAAAAUAUUGUGUCUAUAUUCUUCCUUUUAAAGAAAAAAAAAUCAUCUCUAAUAUUUGAGUUUUAAUGACAAGAAUCUGUAAAUUAUUUUAAAAUAGAAAAUAUAAUCGGGUCAUUGAUCGAGUAAAUGGGUCAAGAAUUUUAACCCUAACUCAACACAGAAAAAAAUUGUGUUGACCCGGACCCGACCCAUUUAAUAAUCGUGUUAAAUUCGACGACCCAUACCCAUUUAUUGGUGUCGUGUUCGUGUCGGGUAAUCGGGUCAUGUCAAAUUUUGCCAGCUCUACUUGAAUGAAUGAAAAUACAAGCUUAGGUUCAUUUAUAUAUAGAGAGGAAAAAGAAGAAACAGUUGGCCUAAGGGCUAAGAUUUGGAAAUGAACAAAUAACAACCUGUGAAUAUGACAAAUAUCAGCCAAUCAUUUUCAGCUUCUAGAAACGUAAUUCUUGCAUGCUCAUUUGCUGAGAUUCUUCAGUAAAUCCAUUUUGCCAGCUCAGUAAAUUUUCUACAUUUUCUGAUUGCAAAUGAGUGUAGCUGAGGUGGCAUGCCAGCUUGUCAUCAGAGUCAUUUGUUGAAUUUUCACAGCUGCUACUUUCAACACCCUUACUCAAACACAAGGUCUUGCAAAGACAUUGAGUUUGCUUCUGAAGUAGUCAAAUUUAUAGUAUGGCAGAGGCUUAGUUAGAACAUCUGCAGUUUGAUCCUUGCUAGCAACAAAACUUAUUUCUAUUUCACCUUUCAUAACUUUGUCUCUGAUGAAGUGAAGAUCAAUCUCAAAAUGUUUAGUUCUCGAAUGGUAUAUAGGAUUGGUAGUUAUGGCUGCUGCACUGGUACUGUCACUUAGAAUCACUGGAGUUCCUUGAACUUUUAACUCAAGCUCAUUAAGCAAUGAACUGAUCCAUGUAAUUUCAACACUGCAUAGAGCCAUAGCUCUGUAUUCAGACUCUGCAAUAAAUCUAGCAACCACACCUUGUUUUCUUGAACUCCAAGCCAGCAAGUUAUUACCCAAAUAUACACAAUAGCCAUUAAUUGACCUUCUAUCACCUGGAUUACUAGCCCAAUCUGCAUCAGUAUAGGCAGUGAGAUCAAAAUAUUCUGACUUUUUUUAUCCUUAGGCACAUGUUCAUUGUAUUCUUAAGAUAUCUCAGUACCCUUUUACAUGUUAUCCAAUGUGACUGUCUAGGAUCUGACAUAAACUGACUAAGCUUGUCACAGAGAAGGCAAGCUUAGGUCUUGUAAGCACUGCAUAUUGUAGGCUUCCUAUGACACUUCUAUAAAGUGUAUGGUCAUGAAACUUGGCUCCCUCAUUUCUUUUUAGCUUUUCUGAAGUGCUGAAAGGAGUUUCUAUGCCUUUGCAAUCAGUCAUUUAUGCCUUUAUCAACAGAUCUUGAACAUAUUUGGUUUGAGAGAGCAGGAUGGUAUCUUGAUUUUUGGUAACUUGUAUCCCGAGCAAGAAAUUUAAAUUACCCAAAUCCUUUAAGGCAAAGGUUUUGCUCAGCUUUACAAUCACUUUUUCGACAUCCUUGUUGCUGUUUCCAAUGAUUAUUAUGUCAUCAACAUAGAUGAGCAUAAUAAUUAUAUCUGAUUUUGUUCUUCUGAAAAAUAAUGAUGUGUCACACUUAAAAUUUUUAAAAUCCCAAGAGUAUAAAGCACUCUUUAGCUUGUCAAACCAAACUCUAGGAGCUUGUCUUAGUCUAUACAAUGCUUUGUUCAGCUUGCAUAUGUAGUUUGACUUGCUUUUGUUUUUAAAUCCUUCAUGUUGUGGCAUGUACACUUCCUCAGUCAAGUCUCCAUUUAGAAAUGCAUUGUUUAUGUCCACUUGCCUCAGCAUCCAGUUGUUAUUCACUGCCAAAGUCAGAACAAUUCUAAUUGUUGCAACCUUAACUACAGGGCUAAAUGUCUCCUUGAAGUCAACACCUAGUGUUUGCAAGAAUCCUUUAACAACAAGUCUGGCCUUGUACUUGUUAAUGGUACCAUCAAGAUUCUCUUUUAUUCACCCACUUGUUUCCAACCAACUUAUAAUUUUGACUAUUAGGUAUCAAAGUCCAUGUUCUGUUUUUCAUCAGGGCAUUGUACUCAUCUACCAUUGCCUCUUUCCAUUUCGGUUCCUUUAAGGCUUCACAGGUAUUUUUGGGAAGAAAGGACUGGAUUUGGGUAGAUAUUUGGUAUAGUUUUGGUUUGAAAAUUCCUUCUUUAGAUCUUGUUAUCAUAGGAUGUGAUGGCCAUGUUUUUUGUUUACCAAGGUUUUAAGUGUUUAGUUCUGUGGCUGGGAGUGAAUUUGGACUGUCUUCUGGAAUAUGUAAUAAGGUUGGUGAGGUGAGUGGUUACCUGAUAAUGUGUCAAUCUCCAAGGUCUGUUGUGCUUCAUCUUGGACAAGAUUUUAGGGAAGUUUCAUAUUUCUAGCAAUGUCUUGAGAAUGACUGUAUGCAGCUGCUAGUUGUGUGAAAUUGUCAAGACUGAUCACAGGGAAGGACACAACUUAAAACUUUUCAGAGAGAGUAGUAAAAUCACUUUCAUUCAUGGACUCAUUUUUGUUGAAAUUUGGAUAAUUUGAUAAAGGAAGGGAGUUUUCAUUGAACCUCACACUAGCUGCUGAAAUGUAAAUCCUGCCAGACUGACUCAUGCAUACAUAUCCUUUGUGAGCAAUACUUACUCCUAACAAGACACACUUGGAGGUGUGAAAAUCAAAUUUGUGCUUGUUAUAGGGUCUUAGGUAAGGAAAACACUCACGGCUAAACACUUUAAUUUGAGAGUAAUCUGGUUUAGAAGAGUAUAGCAAUUCAAAGGGUGUUUUGCUCCCAACUACAGGUGAUACCAGUCUGUUAAUGGUGUAUACAACAUAUGUGAAGGCUUCUUUCCAAUAUUUCAAUGGCAUUUUGGCUUGGGCUAGCAAUGUGAGUCUAGUUUCCACAAUGUGUCUGUGUUUUCUCUCAACUUUACCGUUUUGUUCAUGUAAGUAAGGGUAAGAAUGUCUUAGAGCUAUUCCCUUGGCUUUGAAUUCUCCCUCAUUUCUGUUUGCAGUGCUUUAAUUUUCAAGUUUAGUUGAUUUUCUAUUUGCCUUUUGAAUGCAAUGAAUGUGUCAAGGGCCUGAGAUUUUGUUGUUAUAGGAUAGAACCAUGUGUAUAUGGUUCUGUCAUCAACAAAAGAUAAAUAAUAUCAAUAUCCUUUUGUUGAGGGGAUUGGUGCUGGUCCCCAUAGGUCUGUAUAGAUCAAUUCUAAAGCUAUUUUGGUUUUGGUCUCAGUGUUCUUGAAUUGUUGUUUUGAUUGCUUUCCAUAUUGGCAUGCACAACAAAAUGAAGGGAUGAUAUUUUUAUUUAUCCUUAACUGAUUACAAGACAGCAAAGUAUUUUUCAAAGCAAAUACAUUGGGAUGCCCUAGUCUAAGAUGCCAAAGAUCAAUCUCCUUUGUAGCUUUUGAAACACUGCCGUUUGAUUCAUUAGUUACACUAGACUUAACAUCGACAGACUCAUUACUAUUAGAAUUAAAGGAUAACAUAGACAUCGGAUCACUAAUGGACCUUAUUGUGAAGUGUUUUUGUAGAUCAAAAGUAGGUAAAACAGAACAACCAAUAUGAAAUAUCACAAGUUUCUCACCAUUGCCAACAACAAGUUGGUCAUUACCUUGAUAUUCAAAAUUGAUGUUGAUAUUUCCAAGUGCGUUUGUGACAUAGUUAGUGGCACCAUUGUCCAGAUGCCAUGCUCCACUAUUUUGCCCAUCAGUUGAAGCUUCAUAGGCACCUCUUGUUUCUCUUCUUCUGUUUGGCUGGGGUAUAAAAUUCUUCUUGAAUCUGUGCCAACACUCAGCAGUUGUAUGCACCAUCUUCAAGCAAAUUUGACAUGGCCCUUUGGAUUCUGAACCAUUAUCAUUUGCCAUUGCUUUGCCUUUUCCCUUGUCUUGAGGAUUUUGAUUUCCUUGAUUGUUUCCAAUUCCACUACCAGAGUUUCUAAAGACUAUUCCAGGUUGAUAUUGAUUUCCAGUUCUGUCAUUGUUACCCCAGUUUCUCCUCUCAUUUCUUAUUUGAGUGUAGUUUGCCUCAACAGCCCCUGAGCUUAAAUUUUGUUCAGUUCUGUUUUCUUGACUGAGCAGCAUGCCAUACACUUCUGAAAGUGAGAGGCUCUCUAGUAUAGAGUUUAUGUUGGUAACUAUUGAGUCGUAUUUAGGUCCUAGUCUAGCCAACACACACAUGACAAAGUCAUCAUCACUCAUAUUGUUACCUACUACUCUAAGCUGAUUUAACAUAGACUUCAUUCUAGAAUAGUAGUCAUGAAUAGUGACUGAACCCUUUUUGGUUGUCUGGAUUUGAGUUCUAAGGUGCAAUACCCGGGCUCUAGUUCUAGCACCAAAUUGGUUGGUAAGAUUUGUCCAAACCUCACAUGAGGUAGAACAAUCAACCACUGUGCCCAAACCCCCCUCACUCACGGAUGACAGUAACCAACUUAGUAAAAUGUGGUGUUGCUUUUUCCAAAUUUGAUGCUCAAGGUUAGGUGUAUUUAUGGUGGUUUCAUUUGGUUCCGGGUUUGUGAAAUAUCUUGGAGGGCAGACAUGGCUACCAUCAACAAAACCUUCAAGCUCAUUAGCCCUGAUGCUGGAAAUCACUUGUGAUCUCUAGAGCAUAAAAUUGUUUUGGGUGAGCUUGAUAGGAAUUGUAAAGACAUAUGUAUUGUUGGUAAUAUGUUGUGUGGGAGAGUGAUUAAUUACUGCUGAGUUUGUGACAUUGUGCCCUGAGUUUUGAUUUUGAUUGACGUUAUCUUCUUGGUUAUUUGGAUUCAUUUGUGACUGAUUCGUGUUUGUGUGUGUGUUGCUGCUGCUACUUGCCAUAGCUCAAAGCGGCUCUGAUACCAACUUAAAUUUGCUAUAAAUUGCUUAUGAACAGCAAGCAAAGCAUAAUCACAAAAUGCUUUAUAAAAGAUAACGACUGGAAUGAAUGAAAAUACAAGCUUAGGUUCAUUUAUAUACAGAGAGGAAAAAGAAGAAACAAUUGGCCUAAGGGGUAAGAUUUGGAAAUGAACAACUAACAACCCUGUGAAUAUGACAAAUAUCAGCCAAUCAUUUUCAGCUUCUAGAAAUGUAAUUCUUGCAUGCUCAUUUGCUGAGAUUCUUCAAUAAAUCCAUUUUGCCAGCUCGGUAAAUCUUCUACAUUUUAUGAUUGUAAAUGAAUGUAGCUGAGGUGGCAUGCCAGCUUGUCAUCAGAGUCAGCUGUUGAAUUUUCACAGCUGCUACUUUCAACACAACAAUUUUAAGGUUUCAGCAGGUUCAGGCUUUCAGUUCAAUUUAUAAAUUCGGUAUAGUUCUUUUAGUAUACACGAGUUAAUUACCAUAUCGUGCUAGGAUAUUAAUUGGUAAGUCCAAAAUCAAUUGCAAUUAACAGAAUCUUUAUAACAACAGCAGAGUAUUUUGGAAAUUUGAGAAAGUUUCUGAUGUACUUGCUGCGAGCAAUCAUAUAAGGCGAAUUCUGGAAAAAUAUAAAGGGAUUUUCAAGUUUUGUUAGCUUUCCCAAAUAUUUAUCGCACAAUUCAUAGUCCAAUCACAUCCAUAAUAUUGAUGCCUUUUUGAUAAUCCUAUACAUUCUGAAGUGGUAAAAUUUGGGCAAAUUUAUUUAUGGAUGUGAUUCAGUUCCACAUAAUUUUUGUUUUUGUGGACUUGGAGCGUAAUUAAAGACAAUCGAUAAAAAUUUCUCCUGCUACGAAUUGUGCAUCAGUAAUACUAGCAAACAUUAUGUAAACUUGGGGUAAAAGCUUGUUUAGUCCCUAUAUUAUGAGGUUAGUGUCCAUUUAGUCUCUGUAUUUUUAAAAACACCUCAAAACGUCCCUGCUACUAAAUAUUGACACUUAUGCCAUUAUUUUUUUUAUUUUUAACUUGCUUUUACAAUAUUACAUUUUUACAAUAAUGUUUCUUUUUGGAUAUUAAUAAAAAAUUAAAUUAUCAAAUUAAACUCAAAAAUAAAAUAAAAACAAAAAAGGUAUAUAUUAAUUUUUGUGGAAGCUCACGUAUGUCUAAAAAAUUAAUAUCGUAAAAAAUUACAUUAUCAAUUCUUUUAGAAAAAUUAAUAUUUUAACUCAAGAGUGUGUUCUACAAAAAUUAAUAUAUAUAUUUUUAUUUUAUUUUAUUUUUUGGUGUUAAAGUGGUAAUUUAUUUUUUUCUUUUUAAUAAUGUCUAAAAAAAUUAUUAUAAUAGGGUUUUUUUUUUAAUAAUGUCUAAAAAAUUAUUAUAAUAGGGCAAUAUUAUAAAAAUAAGUUAAAAGGAACAAAAGAUAAUGGCAAAAGUGUCAAUAAUUUAAUGGUAGGAAUGGUUUGAGGUAUUUUUAAAAAUAUAGGGACUAAACGGACACUAACUUCAAAAUAUAGGGACUAAACGAGCUGUAAACUUGCCCCCCCGAAAAAAAAAAUCCCAUCAAGUAAUCAACCUCUUGAACAGAAAAGCCUGAGAUUUCAAAAACUGAACAUAGAAACUUGACAUUUUCUUAUAUGCACGAUCAAGAUCAUUAUGUACACUGACAAAAAACCAGAGAAAACUCAUGCAUGAUUGGGUUUCAUCUACAAACACAAUUAACCAACAAGUAAUUUUUAAAAAAAUUAAUUUCUUCAAGCGGAAAAGAAACCGUCAAAAGCAGUAACUGUAAUCUGGCUCUUAGGCUUCAAUACCCACUUGACAAAUUUUCUGAUCUCUUUACUUUUUAACAAUUGAGAUGCUCUGAAGAAGGCUCAUGAUGAACUAGACAUUCAUGUUGGUGCAAAUAGGCAAGUGAAUGAAUCUGACAUUAAAAAUUUAGUUUACUUGCGGGCUAUCCUCAAGGAAACAAUGCGUUUAUAUCCGGUUGUGCCACUUUAACUACCUCACCAGUCGAUGGAAGACUGCACUGGCAGUGGUUACCAUGUCCCUCAUGGAAACAAUGCAUUUAUAUCCGGUUGCGCCACUUCAACUACCUCACCAGUCGAUGGAAGACUGCACCGUCAGUGGUUACCAUGUCUGUGCAGGCACGCAACAUUUUGUUAAUGCUUUGAAGGUUCAUCAUGACCCAAAAGUUUGGCAGGAGCCUUGAAAAUUUCUGCCAGAAAGAUUUCUUACAACACACAAGGAUAUUGACUUAAGGGGACAAAACUUUGAAUUGAUACCAUUUGGCAGUGGUAGAAGAAUAUGUCCUGGAAUUUCAUUUGCCUUUCAAGUUAUGCCACUAACCCUUGCUUAUCAAUAUUCUUAAUUAUGUAAAUCAUAUUUUUUAUUAAUUUUAAAUUUAAUUAUGUAAAUUAAAAAUUAUUAAUAAGAGCAACACAAAUGAAACAUUAUUAUUAAUAAUAUAGUACAAAAUUAAUAUUUUCUUAUAAUAAACUAUUUAUUAUUAUUAAUUAUUAAUAUUAAAUAAAUAUAAUAUUAUUAUUUAUUUUAUUUUAUUAAAUAUAAAUUAUUAAAUUUAAUAAAAGGAGGGUAGAAAAGGAAGAGGUGGGAGUGUCAUGAGAGUCCCACUCCCACUGCCCACUCCAAAAAUAGGUGGAGCCCACGAAGUGGGAUUCUAAAUUCUCUCUUAAAAUGUUAAAGUAAAUAUUGGAGUGGAAGAAAUUCACAUUUCUCACUCUCACUUCAAAAAGUAAACACAACGAAAGAGUAGAUAACCUUUGUGUUUUAAAAAUUUCAAAAACUUAGAAAGGGCAUUUCAGGUAAUUAAUAAUAAAUGGAUUAUUAAAUAAGGGUUGAGAGCUACAAUAUAUGUAAAUCCACACUUUAUGAAGAAAUAAUUUAUAAAAAAUCACAUUAUUUUUCAAAAUUUAAAAUAAAGAGAAAGUUUAGCAAUUAAUUAAUUUUAUCCAAUUCUUUACAUAAGUCUGUUGACCAUAGUUGAUCACUAAUGUUGUUUAAACAUAAUUUAAUUUGAGUAUAUUUUAUCCGAUAACAAAAAAAAAAAUCAAAUUGUCCAAAAUAUAUCUGCUGUACGGCCAAGGCGGAUGUACGGUACAGCAGUUUAUGAUAAAUAUUUGUUGAAUAUCGGUACAUAUAAAGGAGUAAAAGAACACAUAUAUCAAAACACGUAAUAUCAAAACUCUUAGAGAAACACAUAUAUUUAACAAAUAAGCUUAUGAUAUAAAUUAUUAAAAUUAAACCAUAAAAUAAUUAUUAUGAAAUUAUUUUUUUAUUGAUAGAGAAUGUCAUAUAUUUGAAUUAUUUAAUAUAAUUAGAAGAAAAAAAGUAAAUAUGACUGUGAAGUUAAAAGUCAUGAAAGUUAUAGUUGAAAAUGUUGUUAAUUGUUAUUGUGUUCCAUUUUGCAAUUAGACCAAACCAUAUAUUCAUAUAUAUGGUGAUGUUCCAUUUUCUAAUACUAGUGACAAUGUUAUAACAUAGUUACUAUAUUCCAUUUUGCAAGUUUCUAAUACUAGUGACGAUGUUAUAAUAUAUAUUGAUAUAUGUUUCUUUCAAUUAGAUCAAAUCAUAAUAUUUUUUAUAAUAAGUUAAAGCAAUAAUAAAAUUUUUACCUCCUAAUGAUUUCAAUUAGUUCAAGAAAUAUAAAAUUAAAUCAUUUUAUAAAACAAAUCUCUAACUCCUAUUGAAAGAAAAAAUAUAGUUGAAUGAGGGACAAAAUUAAAAAUAAAAUAUAAACUCUAUUAUUUUAUGAAAUACUUAGUUUUCAAUUAAUGUUUUCUAAAUGUCCCCUUAUUUGUCCUUUAAUGUAGAUUGAAUCAUUAGUUGGUCAGAAUUUAAAAUCUUGACAACUUUUAAUUUUGGCUCUAAUAUAAGCUUACAAAUGUAGGCAUGUAGCUUGCUGUUAGAUUUGGUUAUGCGCUGAUAAAUUUUUUAACAAGUGAAAAAGAGAAAAGAGAGAGAAAUUACCUUAAUUUGAUAAGGAAAUUAGCAAAUAAGAGGAAGAUAAGAUAAUUUACGGUAACAAAUAAAUGAUAAAUUCUGAUUUUUUAGAGAAAAAAAAGAGUAAAAUAUGUACUAAUGGAGCGUUUACAUUUUGGAUUGGAGUGGUAAUCCUAUGAUUGAGAGUGUGGAGUGGGAGUGGGAGUGGGAGUGGGAGUGGGAGUAGAUUGUUUACUUACAGUGGAAUGGAAGUAUGGAAUGGAGAUUAGAAUCCAAUUUAUGUAUUUACUUUAUCUUGGAUUUGGAGUAAAUAAUUUCAAAUUACAAUUUUACCGUUAUUUAAAAAAUUAUAGCUUUUAAUUACAAAGUUAAUAAAAAAUAUAUUUGAUAAAUAAAAUUUUAUUAUUAUUUUUCAAAUUAGGGUGGAAGUUCUGACUAAGAUUUGGAGUGUAGAGUGAGAUUGAGAGUAAGCUCUUUACUUACAUUGGAAUAAGAAUAUGAAAUAAGAAUUAGAAUUCCAUUUAUAUGUUUAUUUUGUGUUGCAUUUGGAUACUUUGUCUUGGAUUGGAGUGAAUUGUUUAAAUUACAAUUUUACCAUAUAUAAAGAAUUUUAGGUUUUUAAUUACGAAGUGAAAAAAUAUAUUUGUAAAAUAAACUAUUUAUUUUAUUAUUAAUUUUAAUUACAUAAAUUAGUAAUUAUUAUCAAUAUUCUUAAUUAUGUAAAUCAUAUUUUUUAUUAAUUUUAAAUUUAAUUAUGUAAAUUAAAAAUUAUUAAUAAGAGCAACACAAAUGAAACAUUAUUAUUAAUAAUAUAGUACAAAAUUAAUAUUUUCUUAUAAUAAACUAUUUAUUAUUAUUAAUUAUUAAUAUUAAAUAAAUAUAAUAUUAUUAUUUAUUUUAUUUUAUUAAAUAUAAAUUAUUAAAUUUAAUAAAAGGAGGGUAGAAAAGGAAGAGGUGGGAGUGUCAUGAGAGUCCCACUCCCACUGCCCACUCCAAAAAUAGGUGGAGCCCACGAAGUGGGAUUCUAAAUUCUCUCUUAAAAUGUUAAAGUAAAUAUUGGAGUGGAAGAAAUUCACAUUUCUCACUCUCACUUCAAAAAGUAAACACAACGAAAGAGUAGAUAACCUUUGUGUUUUAAAAAUUUCAAAAACUUAGAAAGGGCAUUUCAGGUAAUUAAUAAUAAAUGGAUUAUUAAAUAAGGGUUGAGAGCUACAAUAUAUGUAAAUCCACACUUUAUGAAGAAAUAAUUUAUAAAAAAUCACAUUAUUUUUCAAAAUUUAAAAUAAAGAGAAAGUUUAGCAAUUAAUUAAUUUUAUCCAAUUCUUUACAUAAGUCUGUUGACCAUAGUUGAUCACUAAUGUUGUUUAAACAUAAUUUAAUUUGAGUAUAUUUUAUCCGAUAACAAAAAAAAAAAUCAAAUUGUCCAAAAUAUAUACUUCUGUGACAUAAGUUGAAAAAAUUAAAAUUUGGAAUGUAUGCUGUAUCUUUUUCCCAAAUUUUGUAUUGAUAAUCCCAGAUUAGGGCAUGGAUUGAAAACUCCCCAAUUUUGAGUUACAAAUCCCCAAUUCGAUGUGGGCAUUAACUACAAAUCCCCAAUUUAAAUAAACUCUUAUUUAAAUAAGAGUGAGUUUGAUUGAAUUUCGGCUUAUAAAUUAAAACAAUGCAGUUUGGGAAUGAUGUGCUUCCAAGAGGCUCUCUUUUGUCUCAAAGAGACGGCCACCUUAAUUUUAUACUUAUUCGAUGCAACCAAAAAAUAAGGCCACUUUAAUUUAUUCAGUUUGAAUAAAAUCAAUUCCACCAACCGAGAUCCCAUUCACUGUCGUCAACAUUAAUUGAAUUGAACAAGCUAAUUCAAAGAUAUGCACGCGUUUUAUUUCUGUUAAGGGGAAAAUGUCAAUAAAUCUAUGGGCUAUCUGAGUAAUCGAUUUCAGUUGCCGAAACCAGUACGAGUCUAUUCACUAUGGUUUGAGGUGUUGUAGCUUAAAAAAAUUUGUAUUUAUGAAAAAAAUUAAUAAUAAAUAAUAAAUAUAAAUUUUAAAUAAUAAUUUUGACAAAAUUAUUAAAGAUAUAAUAUAUUUUCUAUUAUAUAAGUGAAAAAUCAUAUCAACAUAAUUUCUAAAGUACAGUAGGUAGUGUUUACCAAAUACUUUAAUGUUGUAUCUUUUAAGGUACAGUUGCCUAAUCUUAAUCUCAAACGUACCAUAUAUCUUACUACAUUAAAUAAAAAAAAAUACUAGUCUGAUUUUAAUACUAAUUUGCAAAGCCCCCUCUAUUGGCGGUUCAAAUUUUGUCGACUAGAAUUGUUCUUACAUGUUAUCCACCUCAGGCAUUCAAACAAUUCACAUUCUCAAUUAAUCAAUUAACUAAAUAAAUUGACUUGUAUAAAUCAAAAAUGCUAAAAUUGUAAAUGUAAGCCUUACUAGCCAUUUCACUUGAAUAAAUUGGAAAGGACUUCUGAAUUGAUCAAUUAAUCAAAAAGACAGCGUAAAUGUUUAAACGAGGAGUAGCGUGUGACACGUAAGCCUUAAUUAAUCAAGUAAUUAAUUGAUAAAAAAAAGUUAACAAUAGAUGUAUGUGGCACACACAUGAGCCUUGAAGGAGCCAAGACCAUAUUUUAUUCACACAACUUGAUUAAUUCUCUUCCAUGCUAAGUUCAAAGCCAAAAUUAAUUAAUACAACUUUGGACCAUCGAUCUCUUCUUUGAAGCAAGAAUUUUAAUUGGAUUAAGAAACGACACUAAUAUUAAUUGAACGAUUUUGAUGAUGAAAACAAUGAGUUCAUCUAAGAUUGAGACUUUUAAUUAAUUUGAAGCUAUUAAUUUUUGGAGUUGGACUAUUGGCACUCUCUAAAAAUCGUUUAAAUCUUUUUUUUUAAUUAUCUUAUUAAAAUAUUUUAAAUAAUAUAAAUUUCUUAUGACUCCUCUUAAUUAAAAUUCAUUCUUAUAUAACCCCACUCUUACAAUUUUUUUUAGUAUUGUUCAAGCGUCUUAUGAUGUCAACAGCCUUUUUCUUUCCUUAUCUAUUUUUUCAAUUCUUAGUAAUACAAAAUAUAUUCUUCUUACUGACUUACUCCAUGUUAACACAAACUCUUGUUACCGCUUAUUUUCUCCUCAAUUAAGUCCAUUCAUAAGUGGUAAAAGAGUUUCCAUUAUAAAUGCUUUCAACUUCAAAGAUUUGAAAAUUUUAUUAUAAUAACUUCUAUUUUCAACACAAAAGCAAUUCAACCUAAUGUUGAGUUCUUCAUCGUGCUUCCAUUGGUGAAUGCACAUGUGCUCUAUGCCAUGCUACACCCUAGAGAAAGAAUGAAAACAAAUUCAAUUUUUGUAAGAAAAAUUACUGCUACAGUCACAAAAUUUGAAAAAAUAGUCACAAAGACACCUAAAUUUUUAAAAGGAAAACACCAAAAACUUCCUUUUAACUAUUAUAUCAUUUGAAUUUAGUAUUUAGAAAAUUGACUUUGAAGUUUUUUAAUUAAUACAGAUUUAAUAGAAAUAAUAUAAUCAAUCUAGUAAACUACCAAUAUUAAGUUAUUUUUAACAUUUAAAAUAAUAUUAAAUUUUAUUUAAUAUUAUGUUUCUAUUUAUUAUAAAAUUUUGGGGUUAAUUUUUUUAAUUUAUAGAGUUAAAGCAUAUUAUGGUCAGAAGCGGAUCUUGGUGUCCCUUAUUAAAAACUUGGGGGCCUUUGUGACUAUUUUUCCAAACUUUAGAGGGUAGGUGUCUUUUUUUCUUUUUUUAUAUAUAAAAAGAUAAAUUUAUUUAAUUAAGAAUUAAAAAAAAAAGUGCGUGUGAUGGUAAGGGAUCCAACUCUAAUUUUUAUUUAUCAAGCAACGAUAAAGACUAUGGCGAAGCUUUUUAACACACUUUAGUGUAAUUUAUAAAAUACUAACUUAUAAAAUAAAAAUCAAUCAUCUUGUCAUAAAUUUUAACUUAAAAAUAAUUCUAAAUUUUUAAAGAUUUCACAAAAGAAAAAAAAAAUCUUCAGUUGAUGUUUAAAAUAUAAAUAUAAGGGAAAAUUAUAGCUACACUCUCAAGGUUUAGAGAAACAAACAUGAAGAACCUAAACCUUCAAUAAGAGACAUUAAGACUUCUUCUAACCAUAAUACCCUUUGGUUCUAUUAAAUUGACUCCAAUGUUUUACAAAAAAUAGAAAUACAAUAUUAAAAUAGACAUAAUAAUAUGUACACUUUAUAUAUUUAAUAUUAAAAAAUACUUUAUUAUUUUACAAUCUACUAGAAAAAUUAAAUUAUUUAUAUUAUAUUUGUUAUAUUUAUUAAAAACGUUAAAUUUUUUAUUUACUAUAUUCAAAAGAUAUUAUAGUAAAACAAGAUCUUUGUGUUCCUUAUUGAAAAUUUAGAGGUCUUCAUGACCAUUUCUCUAAACUUUGUGGGUAUAAUUAUUCUUUUCUCUAAAUAUAAAUUAUGAAAUGUGGUGGGUGUAAUAUAUAAUUAAAAGAAAAUUUAUUUUAGCAUUUAAUUGAAUUUUGAUUAAAAAAAAGAACUAAUUUAUCUUUAGUUAUUUAGGUAAUUUUGUUUAAAGAGGGGUUUAAGGAGAUUUAGAGGAGUGUCAAAAGUAAUUAGUUUUUUUUUUCAUCGUUUGGAAUUUUGAUUCUCUUCUAGUUUCGUUUCUCAUUAUGAGAUUUUUCUGGCCAUCUAAUAUAAUUUAUCUAGAUUAUAAGUUAUUAACAACAAAACACCUUUAAUACAUACUUUUGAGAACUAAAAUGAUAAAAGAAGAGAAAGUCAAAGAAAAUCAAGACUACAACUUUCAAUAAAUAAAUAACUUUAUUUACAUGGAACUAAUAUCUAUUAUUCUCAUAUUUAAUCUAAUUUUUUUUAUAAUUGUCUGAGUACUGAAAUCAAAUACAAAAUGAGAAAAGAGGGAAUUGAACGAAAAAAAAAACAAAGAAAAUAAAUUUACAUGGGUUAUAGAUUAUGAGAGUUUAUUUGAAUGAAGAAGAAAGAUGGGUGUCCCCCCCCCCCCCCAAAANNNNNNNNNNNNNNNNNNNNNNNNNNNNNNNNNNNNNNNNUAAAAUCGAAUAAAGAAGAAAGUGGAGAUUUAAUUAGGUAGGGUUGGCAAAAAAGUCCGGGUCAGACUAAGCCCACAGGCUUGAGGCUCGGCCCGCAUCAUGGAAAUGAGCCCAAAAAUAAGCCCACUCUGAAUGCCCCUUGUUAGUACGGGUGGGCAUUUGGUUCGAACCGAACUGAACCAAACCGAACUAUAUUAUAGUAAUUUGGUUCGGUUCAGUUCAUGUUAUAAAAGUAAAUGGUUCAAAUUUUCUGAACCAUUUGGUUUUUAAUUUGCUGAACCAAAUGGUUCAGUAAAAGAAUUGAAAUUAAAAUUAAAAAAAAAAGGAAAGUGAAAAGUGAAAACCUAAGCUAACUAAAACACACAUUUCACUAUUUCAAAUUAAAUCACACAGCCACAUAAGCAAUUAACCACCCACCAUCUGAAACUCUUUUUCUCUUUGCCGGCCACUACACACGAGUAAUCAGCCACCGCUCAUCAUCCCCACCGUCAUUAGACUCAUCAUCAUCGUCGUCAGCCUGUCACGGAUUCAUCCAUCGUGCUUGUGCCACACGCUGCAACUUUCAGUCCAUUGAGCUUCAGUCAGCAGACUCGGCACCAUCUCUCACUCUUGUUCACCGUCAGCCACACCUUCCUCACGCCAUCACCGUCGCUGGUCUUGCCAAACUGCUGUCAAGGACUCAAGGUGCGUGAGACAGCCAAUUACUUCUAAUUUGUUUUAAUCUUUGCUCUAAUAUCAUGACCGAACCGAACUGCUAUCAAUAAUUGUAUUGUAAUUUGUCAAACUAUCUUGGGCCCUUAAUAAUAUGUAAUGGAUUAGCUUAAUAGUUAAUAGCUUGUAGAAACAGCCACUAAUUUAAUCGAAUUAGUAAUAAAAAUUUGUAGUAAUACCUAGUGAUAUAAUUGAAUUAUUAUUAAAAAUUAGUUAGUAAUGUCCACUGAUUUAGUCAAAUUAAUUUAUGGUUUACAAUGUUACAAUUAGUUAAGUGAUAGAAUUAUAGAAUAAAUUAAUUCGUAAAAGUUAAAUGGGGUUGACCUUCCGUAGUUGACUAUUGUUUGCAAUAUUUUCAGAUGGUUGCUUCUUCAAAGGUCCAAGACAAUAUUGAAUCCUGAAGCAAUGAAUCUGACCGUGAAACUGAAGUUGAAAAUGAUUCGUUAACAUUAUCCAAUAGUAGUGGAACAAAGAGAAAAAGAGCUUCAAUACCCAGAAAAGCAAUGUUGCCAAGAUCCGAGGUGUGGCAACAUUUCACUAUAUUGCCAAGUGAUGCAAAAAAGUGCACAUGUAACCAUUGUGGUGUAGAAUUUCGUAUAGGGCACGAGACUAGCACUUUAAAGACUCACUAUCAAGAUAGGUGCGAUAAAUAUAAGAGCUUCGAGAAGGAUCAAACAGUUUUAACUAAAGAUGUUGGUAGUGAAGAUCUUUUGGCAAGGGGGUUUAGUUAGGAUGCUUGUAGACGCGCAACUGUAAAAAUGAUUGUUUUUUAUGAAUUUCCAUUUUCUGUUGUAGAGAAUCCAGGAUUUAAGCAUUUUUGCAGUGUGAUUGCUCCUAGGUAUAUUCUUCCAUCACAGAGAACUAUUACUAGGGAUACUCUUGAUUUGUUUGUGGAAGAGAAGACUAAGUUAAAGAGCUUAUUGGUCGGGAAUAAGCAAAGAGUGUCUUUGACCAUCGAUAUUUGGAUUUUUAUUAUAACAGCUAGCUAUAUGGUCUUCACAACUCACUUUAUUGACACAGAUUGGAGCUUACAUAGAAGAAUUAUUAGUUUUAAUAUCGUUAAUGAUCAUACAUCAGAGACGAUUGGCAAGAAACUUAAAAAAAUGUUUGAUUGAUUGGGGUAUAGAGCCAGUCUUUGCAGUAACUGUAGACAAUGUAAGUGCAAAUGAGGGUGCCGUUAGGUAUUUAAAGGAUAGAUUGAGCACGUGGAGAGAUGAUUCUUUAGUGUUGAAUGGGGAUUAUAUGCAUGUCUGUUGUUGUGCACACAUUUUGAAUUUGAUAGUUAAUGAAGGGUUGAAAGAAAUGGAUGCGAGUAUAGUUAGUGUUCGUAAUGCCAUGAAGUACGUGAGAUCUUCCACUGCAAGGAUGCAAGCAUUUCAAAUUUGUGUGAAUCAAGAGAAGAUUAAUUGCAAGGGAAGUGUGAUUUUAGAUUGUCCUACAAGGUGGAAUUCCACUUAUAUGUUGAGUACGGCAUUGAAGUUUAAGUCAGCAUUUGAUCGAAUGGCAAAUGAAUAUAAGUUUUAUGAUGCAUAUUUCCGUGAGAAAGAAAAUGGGGAAAAAAAAAGGAUAGGACCACCAUUAAAUAGUGAUUGGGAAAGUGCUCGCCGCAUUUGUAAAUUUUUGAAGACUUUUUAUGAUGCUACUUUGCAAUUUUCUUCCUCUUUGAAGGUAAUAUCAAAUUUUUGCUAGAAUUUAGUUUGUCAAAUUAAUUAUUCUUUGGCUUUAAUAUCUAAUAGCAAUUUUUAUUUUUUUUUAGUUGACAUUAAAUCUUUGCUACAAUUUGAUAUGUCAAAUUGAAUCUACUUUGAAAUCCUUGUGUAAGAGCAAUGAUUCUGAUUUGAGUGCCAUGGCAACUAAAAUGAAGGACAAAUUUGACAAGUAUUGGGAGGGCACAAUCAAGAUAAACAAGAUGUUAAUUGUUGCUUGUGUACUUGAUCCACGAGGCAAAAUGAAAUUCGCAACACAUUGCUUCGAGGAAUUGUAUGGCCAGGAUAGUGGCAAAUGUAGUGAGAUGAAAGAAAUGGUAAAAGACUUGUUUGUUAAACUUUUUGAGUCUUAUAGUGCACGGUACUCUAAACCCAGUGGAGUUGGAAGUGCAAGUGCAAGCAAAAGUGCAAGUGCGAGCCAACAUUUUGGGAGUGGUUGUGGUUUGACUUCUUGAGAGUUGGAUGAUAUUGAUGAUGUUGCGAUCGAGGACCCUUUUCUCCUAAUUUAGUAAGAAAGUUACUGUUAGUGAAGAUAAUGCGGAAUUAUUAAAUGAAUUGGAGCUAUACUUGAUGGAGAAGACUGAAAAAAUUGCACCAAAAAAUAAUUUGGGAGCUAAAUUUGAUAUUUUGUUAUGGUGGAGGGUGAAUAGUUCGAAUUAUCCGAUCUUGGCAAAUAUAGCAGGAGAUGUCAUCGUUGUUCCAGUGUCUACUGUUGCAUCGGAGUCCGCCUUUAGUACCGGAGGUAGCAUACUAGAUCAAUAUAGAAGCUCAUUAACUCCGGACAUGGUUGAAGCAUUAAUAUUGACACAAAAUUGGUUGCGAUCAUCUCUUUUCUUGGAUGCGACAACAAAUCUUAAUCAGUUAGUUCAAGAAAAUGAGUUCAUGGACCAACUUUCAGAAGGUACGUUGUGUCAAUUUAAAUUUAAGUUUAUUUUUAGUAGUUUUGGACAAUUUUAAUUUGUUUUAACUUUUGUUUAUUUAGAGUUUCGUAAAUCAACAACUGCGGACCAUUUUGGUUUUGGUGUUCUACAUUGAGUCAUUGAGACUUUGGUUUAAUAUGAAGAAUAAUAGGUAAUGAAGUUAAUUUUUUUUUUGCUAGUUAGUAAAUGUGAUUAUAUUUAUAUAUGUCAUAGCAUAUAUUUUAAUUUAUUCUAUUUAAUUGUUGGUGCUUGGUUAAUGAUUUAUUUUGACUUGGAGAUAUAAUAUAGGCAUUGUGGAUGUGGAAAGAUGAAGAGGUGGCGAUAGAAAGAGUGCUUUGUUGGCCAUGGAAGUUUGAAGUUUCUUUUGUAAUAUGUAUUGGAUUUUUAAAUUAUUGUUGGAUUUUAUGAUGUUAAUUUACUAUUGUUAAUUUUGUUAUGUUAUUUAUUGUGUGGAUUUCUAGAUUUUUUUUUGGAUUUUAUUAUGUUAAUCUACUAUUGUUAGAUUUUUUAUGUUUAUUAUUUGUGGAUUUAAUAGACUAAGGAUUAUUGAUUUAUUGUUGUUUUAAUAGUGUAUUACCAUUAUAUCAUUUUAUUAAAUAAUGAAUAUAUAGGUUGAAACCAAACCAAAUUACCGAACUGAACCAAAUCAGUUCAGUUUUAUAAUUUGGUUCAAAAAUUCAUGAACCAUUUGGUUUCAGUUUGAUUCAGUUCGAGGCCUGAACCGAACCAAACCUAAUAGUGCCCACCCCUACUUGUUAGGGGUGGAAAUAAUACCCGUCCGGUCCGGACCUUGACCGCACCCGGGCAUUUUAGGUCAGGUAUGAAGCCGGGCCGGUCUUAAGCAUCACUUGAUAAACCAAGAACUCAAAUUUUAUUAAAAAAAUAUUAUAAAAUAUAUAUUAUUUUAAAUAUUUAUAUUUAUUUGACUCAUUUAUUAUACAUAUAUAAAGUUUUAAACACUUAAAGUUCAUAUUUUCAUGUCAAAUUUUAUUAAAAUAAAUUUAAAAUUUAUAAAAUUACUAAAAAAUAAAAAAUAUACAGAUAUAAUAUUAAAAAAUAUAAAAUCUGGGUACCCGAAUUAAAGUCCGGCACAACCCGGCCCAGACAUAUAUUGCAUCCGGGUCGAGUCCGAUCAUUGUGAUACCCAAAGUUUUGCCAACUCUAGCCCUGGUUAAGGGCUUUUGCAAAAAGGCCGGGCUUUAAUUUAUAAAUUAAAAAAUUUUAAAAAAAAUAAAAUAUUCUUUUUCAUUGAAAGAGUUGAAUCCCUCAUUCCAUUUUGAAUUAACAUCCUUUUUAAUAAACAUGAGUCUUGAGCUUCUGCAUAAAUUACAAUACAUAAACGUAGUUAAUAUCUAAAAUAUAAAUAAUUUUAAUUUACAAUAAUAAAUAAUAAAAAGAAGAGAAAAAGAAAUACAAAUAUUUGCUUAGAGGUGACCGGCCAAGUCCAUUCAAGGGAGCAAUUAAUAUUUUUUUGUUUAAUAAUAAUAAUCAUCUUAAUUUAAGUGUUUUCGUUAACUUAUAGUUUAAUUAAAAAUUUAUUUAACAAAAUUAUGGAAGGCCCAAGCCCUGCCCAGAUCCGCUCAAAUUGAAUGGGCUUUCCAGGGCUUGGACCAAGUAUCAAUUCUAUGGGCUGGGCCUAGGCUUUGAGAAAGCCCAGCCCAAACCAACAAAUUACCAACCCUAUAAUUAGGUGACUAGUUUCAGAGUUAACGUCUGUUAGCAUUUGCGUUAACGGUUUUAAUUUUAAUAGAGCUUUCGGUUUUUGUGUAGGGAGACACAUAAUCCAAAUUUAAUUAAAUGGACUGGAUUUAUUAGAUACUAGAUAGGCCUUAAAAUGGAGUUGGAGCGAAUCUAGAAUUUUGAUGAAUGGACCCAAGACCGGAGGUAGAUACGUGGAUAUGAUAAGGCCCGGUUCAAGAUUCAUAUCCAAUAAUAUUCCUUUAAUUUUAUUUUUUUAAAUCAAUUACAGUAAUAAUAAUUUACUCCAAAAUAUUUACAUAUCAAUUUAAGAGAGGCCAUAUUUCUUCAUCACAUCUUCGCCAGCUGCCGCUCGUCACUCACUCGCGGUUCGAGCUGUCAGGGUCAGGCAUAGUAAUUUUGAAAAUUAUCUGUCUCUUCUGGCACGUGCUGGAUGCGUGAGAUUGGAAAUUUGGAAUCACCUUGCAAUAAAUUCAAAGUGCUCUUCCUGACUCUUACUUUUCGAUUGCUGGGUGCUUAGAUAUGUAUUUAUGAAGUUGCUUUCUUUACUAACACUUAUCCAAAAUUGUUAGGUUUAGACUUUUCUUUUCACUGUUCUAAAGACGUGCUUUGUAUUUUAUAAUAGCAAUUAGUUAUUCUCUGAUUAAUUUGACGUGCAUGGUUGGUUACUUGGUUUGAUAGUUGGAUGUAAUUAACAAUUUAAUUGAUUGGGAGGAAAAAAAAUUAAAACGAAGCCUAGGUAGUCAUUCAAUGUACAGUUGCUAGUUAAUUCAGGUGGAAAUUAUAAAAUCUAGUAAAAUCAGAUGAAAAUUGUAAAAUCUAAUAAAAUUAAGUGAAAAUAAAAAUAAAAUUGCUGUAACUAUAAUGUUCGAACCGAACUGAACUGAAUUAAAUUAAAUUUAAUUUCAUAAUACAGUAGAACCUCCAAUAGAAAUAUUCUAUAUAAGAAUAGCUUGUUCAUAGUAAUAAAAAAUUGUGAUUCCAAUUUGCGACCAGUUAUAAUUAAAAAUAAACUCCACAUUGUAAUAAGUUAUAUUCUUUGUAAGUUCCGUCUUAAUAAACUUACCUCUACAUAAUAAUAAUAUUUCAAAAAUAUAUGCCAUGUUACAUUAAAUAAUUAAGAUGGAACAAAAUAUCUUUCUAAAGUUGCUUGUGACAAUGAUUUGUUCUUUAAAGUUACAACUACAUUUUUCAACUUGCGGGUAUAUAUUAAUUGGUUAACAUAGACACUUAGUAAUUGGUCAGCAUACACACUUAAUAAUUGGUCAAUAAAAUAAUUAAUUUAUUAAUGUAUAUAUAUUAAAUUUGACUCACUUAUUAAUUUAUUAAUACAUGACAUUAUUUACCUCUAUAUCACUUGCAUUAGGGAUAAUUAAGCAAAGACAAUAAUUUUUGUACUAUACAUCUAUUGAAUUAUAACAUUUUUAUAGGAAUAAAUUUCUCAAUUCCCAACAAUAUGACUAUAUAGAAGUUUUAGUGUAUUUCGGUACAAUUCAAAAAUUCGAUUUGAUUUAAGUUCUAUUCUUAAGAACCGAACCUUAUGGUGCCUACCCCUAGGUACUUGUACAUGAAUGAUAAGAUCUAGUUCAAGAUUCCUACCCAAUAUUCCUUUAAUUUUAUUUUUUAAAUUAAUAAUAGUAAUAAUAAUUUACUCUAAAAUAUUUUGAUAUCAAUUAAGAAAGACUAUAUUUCUUCAUCUCAUCAUCAAUAGAAAGAAAUGCCAACCAACUCAAUUUGAAAUUAAUUAUUUUUCUCAAUAUUAAUUUAUCAUCAUUGUUUCAAUGGUUAACAAUAGGGUAACGUUUGAUAGUCAUUCAGUCAAAGAAUGAGCAAAAAUUAUCCUUCAUAAUUCACAUUUAUAACCUAACAGAAAAAAAACAAAAAUGCAAGACUUUGGUUCCUGAGUCAUGAAAUUGGAUAGGAAAAUGAAAAAUAAAAUGACUUGGUCAUCGAAAUUUUAUGUUAGCCAUGGGUCAAAGUAGUAAACCGGCAUUUUCUAUGACUUUAGAAGCUUCCCUUGGUUUCACAAAGCAACAAACUGACUGGAAAAGUAAAAGUGUUUGAAUUUUGUUAUAUCUUAGACGAGUCUCUUCCUAGGUAUGGGAAUUAUUUGUAAAUAUUUUGUUUGAUUUAUAAGCUUGUCCUUAAUAGUACAAUUACUUUAUAAGUACUUUAGUUAUAUAAAAUUUUAUUAAAAUAAGUGUUUAAGGGUAUAUUACCAAUUUUGUAAUUAUCUUAUAAUCAUUGACUAGACGAAACUUUGACUGCAGACCUUACGCUACAUGCUCUUAAAUUAUAUCUAUGUACCAGACAUUGAUUUGAAGUAACCUCUUCAUUCAGAUCAGAGUCCCAGAGCCAGCAAAAAGCAAUUAGAAAUGGCCAUUCUUCUUACACUAGAAUCAACUGUUCUUGCAAUAAUUUCAGGUUUUGUAAUAUUUCUCUCACUUUUACUCUUGAUUUCACUAAAUGGGCGAACAAAAAAGACACAAGCUCCUCAUCAAGCACCAGUAGCUGCGGGAGCAUGGCCUUUGAUUGGCCAUUUACAUCUCUUCGGAGGGCAAGAGCCAACUCAUAGACUUUUGGGCGACGUGGCUGAUAAAUACGGUCCAAUAUUCACUAUGAAAAUGGGCUUGAAUCGAGCUUUAGUGGUCAGCAAUUGGGAAAUUGCCAAAGAAUGUUUCACCAUCAACGACAAACCCUUUGCAAAUCGUCCCAGAUCAAUGGCCAUGGAUCUCUUAGGGUACAAUUUUUUGGCCAUUGCUGCCAGCCCAUACGGCAACUACUGGCGAGAGUCUCGCAAGAUGGCCACCAUUGAGCUUUUAUCAAACAAUCAACUUCAGAAGCUGAAACAUGUACGAGAGUCUGAAGUGAAGGCUUCCAUCAAAGGGUUAUUCGAGAAUUGCAAAAGGAGCAGUUCACAUAAGGUUUCAGUGGAGAUGAAGCACUGGAUUGAGGGCAUUGUACUUGAUAUUAUCAUGAGAAUAAUUGCAGGAAAACGUUACACUUCACAAGACAGUUCUGAUUUUCAAGAGCAUGCGACCAACUUUUUUGACUUGUGUGGUAAGUUUGUGGUGUCUGACGCUUUACCGUUUCUGAGAUGGCUGGAUAUCGGCGGAUACGAGAAAUUAAUGAAGAAGACAGCUAAAGAAUUUGACCUCGUUUUCCAAGGAUGGUUGGAUGAGCAUAAGAGCAAAAGAGGUUCUAGCGAGGUUAAGGGAGAUGAAGACUUUAUGUAUGUGAUGCUGUCCUUGUUUGAUGACAAAGCAAAGCAGCUUCCUGAUGGCGAUGACACUGACACUGUUAUUAAAGCUAUAUGCCUGGUAUUGUCCUGAAAAAAAUUGUUGAUAACAUGUCAAUUGGCAAAGAGCUAUUUUAUAUGCAUAAUCGAUCUGACUCCUACUUUUGCAGUCUCUAAUCUUAGCAGCUUCAGACACUACCGCAGUAACAUUGACAUGGGCUAUCGCCCUACUUCUCAACAACCGCGAUGUUCUAAAGAAGGCUCAAAAUGAACUAGACGCUCAAGUUGGUACAAAUAGACAAGUGAAUGAAUCAGACAUGAAAAAUUUAGCUUAUUUGCAGGUCAUCCUCAAGGAGACACUGCGUUUGUACCCCGCUGGGCCACUUUUAGUACCUCACGAGUCUAUCGAAGACUGCACCAUCAGAGGUUAUCAUGUCCCUGCAGGCACACAACUUAUUGUUAAUGCUUGGAAGGUUCAGCGUGAUCCGGGAGUUUGGGAGGAGCCUUGUAAAUUUCUGCCAGAAAGAUUUCUUAAAAAAUACAAGGACGUUGAUCUGAAGGGACAGAAUUUUGAAUUUAUACCAUUUGGAAGUGGUAGAAGAAUGUGUCCUGGAAUUUCAUUUGCCUUUCAAGUUAUGCCACUAAUACUUGCUUCAUUACUACAUGGGUUUGAUUUUGCAACCCCAUCAGAUGCACCAGUUGACAUGGAAGAGGCAAAAUCCUUGACCUAUGCUAAAGCUACUCCACUUGAAGUGCUUCUUACUCCACGCCUUUCUGCUUCUUUAUAUGAUUAAUUUGGCUUUUGUAAUACUGAAUGUAUGUUUUUGUAUCACCAAUAAGAAGUGAUUAGAUGUGAUAAUGUCUAUUACCCUGAGGGUUUAGUUUUUUUUUUUUUUUCCCAGAAUAUAAGUUGUUGUGCUAUCAAUAAGAAGCGAUUAGAUGUGUGUUUAUUUAUAUAUUUAUAGAACAUUAUGCUAAGUUAUAAUUUGUAGUUAAGGUCUCCAUCUUUAUGGGAAAAAAGUUUUAUAUUUAUCUUAUUAAAGCGCGGGUCCAGAUUUAAAAAAAAAAAAGAUGCAGGGCAGGAUAUGCUAUCCUAACUCAUUUUGUUUGCACCAAACAUAAAAUUAGAUUAAUGUUUGUAAAAACAAUUUAGUCCCCAGCUUUUUAUCCCUCAAGGUAAUUAAUUAAACUAAAAGUUUAUCAAUGCAACUAUUCAUAGUUAAUUAGUUUCUCAUUAAUUUUUUUUACAGUGAUAAAAAUUUCAGCUUACCAGCCCUCUUCGUAAAUUGACGUACUUCAAUUUAUCAAGUGAACUUGAGUGAUGCAGAUCAAGCAAUUAAUUAAAAGGUAAAAGCUCAUUUAGUCCCUAUAUUUUAAGAUUAGUGUUUAUUUAAUCCCUAUAUUUUUAAAAAUGUCUCGAAACAUCCCUGCUGUUAAAGUAUCGAUACCUCUACCGUUACUUUUUAUUAAUUUUUGACUUACUUUUACAAUAUUACCCUUUUAUAAUAUUUUUUUUGUUUGGACAUUAAUAAAAAAAAUAAUUAAAUUAAUAAUUUAACCCUAGAAAAUUAAAAAAAUUAUAUUAAUUUUUUUGUAAGCACCAUUUGGCAUUUGCACACUUGGUGGUUUGCAUAUAAUUUUUAACAAUUUAAUUUUUUAUAAUUAAAAAUUAAUAUAAAUUUACUUUAAUUUUUAGGAUUAAAUUGGUAAUUUAAUUAUUUUCUUUUUAUUAUCCAAACAAAAAAAUUAUUAUAAAAUGAUAAUAUUGUAAAAGUAAGUCAAAAACUAAUAAAAAGUAACGGUAGGGGUAUUAAUACUUUAACGGCAGGGAUGUUUCGAGAUAUUUUAAAAAAUACAGAGAUUAAAUAGACACUAAUCUUAAAAUAUAGGAACUAAAUAAAUUUUUACCCUUAAUUAAACUAAAACAAAUCCUCGUGUACGUAGUAACAUGCAGAUCAGCUCACUAGCCCUCAAGGUGUAAGCUACCGGACUGCACAUUUAUUAGAGAACCAGAAUUCAGAGACAUCAGUGUCCAGGCUAGUGGGCUGUGGCUAUAUGGUAGAUGAAAAUUCUUUUAUUGGCCAUAGCUAAUUUCAGCUGCAGGAAAGAUUAGGCAGUAGGAAAUAUUACACAUAUCCAGUAAUUUUAAGGUUUCAGCAGGUUCGGGCUUUCAGUUCGAUUUAUAAAUUCUGUAGAGCUCUUCUAGUAUACACACGAGUUGAUUACCAUAUUGUGCUAGGACAUUAAUUGGCAAGUCCAAAAUCAAUUGCAGUUGGCAGAAUCUUUAUGACAAGCAGUAAUAAAAGGCGAAUUCUGGAAAAAUAUAAAGGGAUUUUUAAGUUUUGUUAGCUUUCCCAAGUAUUUAUCGCACAAUUCACAGUCCAAUCACACCCAUAAUAUUGAUGCCUUUUUGAUAAUCCUAUACAUUCUGAAGGGGUAAAAUUUGGGCAAAUUUAUUUAUGGACGUGAUUCAGUUCCACAGAAUUUUUAUUUUUAUGGACUUGGAGCGUAAUCAAAGACAAUCGAUAAAAAUUUCUCCUGCUACGAAUUUUGCAUCAGUAAUACUAGCAAACAUCAUGUUAAUUUGCCCCCCGAAAAAAAAAUCANNNNNNNNNNNNNNNNNNNNNNNNNNNNNNNNNNNNNNNNNNNNNNNNNNNNNNNNNNNNNNNNNNNNNNNNNNNNNNNNNNNNNNNNNNNNNNNNNNNNNNNNNNNNNNNNNNNNNNNNNNNNNNNNNNNNNNNNNNNNNNNNNNNNNNNNNNNNNNNNNNNNNNNNNNNNNNNNNNNNNNNNNNNNNNNNNNNNNNNNNNNNNNNNNNNNNNNNNNNNNNNNNNNNNNNNNNNNNNNNNNNNNNNNNNNNNNNNNNNNNNNNNNNNNNNNNNNNNNNNNNNNNNNNNNNNNNNNNNNNNNNNNNNNNNNNNNNNNNNNNNNNNNNNNNNNNNNNNNNNNNNNNNNNNNNNNNNNNNNNNNNNNNNNNNNNNNNNNNNNNNNNNNNNNNNNNNNNNNNNNNNNNNNNNNNNNNNNNNNNNNNNNNNNNNNNNNNNNNNNNNNNNNNNNNNNNNNNNNNNNNNNNNNNNNNNNNNNNNNNNNNNNNNNNNNNNNNNNNNNNNNNNNNNNNNNNNNNNNNNNNNNNNNNNNNNNNNNNNNNNNNNNNNNNNNNNNNNNNNNNNNNNNNNNNNNNNNNNNNNNNNNNNNNNNNNNNNNNNNNNNNNNNNNNNNNNNNNNNNNNNNNNNNNNNNNNNNNNNNNNNNNNNNNNNNNNNNNNNNNNNNNNNNNNNNNNNNNNNNNNNNNNNNNNNNNCGGGAAAAAUAUAUAUAUAUAUCCCCAUCAAGUAAUCAACCUCUUGAACAGAAAAGCCUGAGAUUUCAGAAACUCAAACAGAGAAACUUGACAUUUUCUUAUAGCAUGAUCAAGAUCAUUAUGUACAGUGGGGAAAAACAAAAAACAGAGAAAGUAAGACAGAAAACUCAUGCGUAAUUAGGUUUCAUCUACAAGCACAAUUAAUCACCGAGUAAUUUUUUUAAAAAAUUAAUUUCUUCAAGCCGAAAAGAAACCAUCAAAGGCAGCAAGUGUAAUCUGGCUCUUAGGCUCCAAUACCCACUUGACAAAUUUUCUGAUCUUGAUCCCAUCAGCCACGAUCGAAACAUUAACAACAUCAGCAGUAGUAGCAGCAGCAGUAGCAGUAGCAGGAGCAGCAUUGUUAUUUUGCUUGAUAGUCAUCUCUCUUUCAGCAGCCAGUUUCCUUAAAUUAUUGACCCUCCUCUCAUAUUCUUCAGCAACCAGCAUAGCAAUAUCAGCCAUGUCUCUUUUGAAAUCAAUUAACUUUUUUUAUUUUUGGUAAUUUUUGUUGAUCAAUUGAGCAUUCGAAACUUUUUAUACAAGGGAUUUGUCGGUCGCAUGAAUGGAUAAGACGGACAGGUAAUCCUGUGAUUUUUAAAAAUCAUUUUUUUUAAUUUUUUUUAAUUCGACGUGUGUUGUUUGUUUUAGAACAUGGGUUAGUAGGGGGCUGUUUUGGUUUCUAUCGACUUUGGAAAUGCGCAUCCCAUGUUCUGUUUUUUCAAUUUUUUUUUUGUUUUUUUUUCUUAAAUUGUAAAAAUAGUUAACAUGGGGUAGUUGAAAACUUGAAACGAGCAAACCAUGAUCGGCUUCCUUAUUUAUAUUAUUAUUAUUUUUAGAAGUUGCGUCGAUCAAUUAGAAGUUGAAAUACUCGAAAAAGAAAUAUGCUUUCACACCCACUGAAAAAGACUCGAACUGUCUUAAAUAAAAUAAUUAAAAACAAAGGCUAAUAAUUGAUUUUGGGAUAUUCGAGAAGGGAAAUAUGAGUUCUCAUAAAUUUUUAAAGAUCUUGUGUCAUAUAUUUUUAAAUGAUAGUGUAUGGAUAAGAUUUUAUUUUUUAAUUUUCUUAAUUUUAUUAACUAUCAAUCACCGCAUGUAUAUUUAUUAAGGAGAAGAUUAAAUCAGAAGAGAAUUCUGAUCAAAAUUAAGUAGUUAUUUUUCAAAUUUAUUAUCGUAUUAUUAUUACAAAUAAUGCAACUAGUUUAUUUUCUCCACUUUCGUAAGGUGUACACCAAAAUGGUGUGUUGCGUCAAUCUCAUCACGCUUGAAUCCAUAAGCUGAAAGCCACCCGUACUUUGUUUUAUCUAUGACCUCAGAAAAUUGAUUAUCAAUUCUAAACUUAAGCUUUUCUAAAGUUUUCAAAACUUCCUCUAUAUGUAUCUUCUCCGAAAAUGAGAAGUAUGAAAAUUAUUUAUUUAAAAAAUUUUCUGAUUUCAAAUAAAUAAUUAUUUUAUAUUAUUACAUAUCCUUCAACAUUUAUUAGAAAGUAGUGUGAAAAAUAACUGAGUGCGCACAUUAGUUUUUACUUUAUACCGAACAUCGGCAGGGUGGUGACGGUCGGUGAUAAAACCAUCGACCGAAAACCAUCAAAUCCAAUGAAACAAAAACUGGUGGCAAUUUUGUAAUUGACAACAUAUUUAUAAAACCACUGUCGUGGUAAGAACAAUAGUAAAUUUGAUCAAAGAUGGGCACGCGUCUCUUGAUUGUUAGACAUCACAUGACCCACAAGUCCCCCAAAAUAAUAUUAUAAAUAUCUCCUCCAUCUAGACAAAUCUUGGUUGACAUUGAACGAUUAGCUAGACUUCAAGUUUUGCUCCGACUUUUUCAUUUAUUUAUCAGCAUAUUAGUAAAUGAUUUAAAAAAAAAAAAAUCUUCAACUGCAACUCAAGACCAAUUCUAUUAAAAUGUUGACAGCAAGUCUACUUCUCAUACUGGUUAAAUUGUUUAUGGUAAUUUGCUUGACACAUUGAAUUAGCCACAGCCACGCAUGCUGCUUACAAAUUUUGUUUUUAACACAAAUAAAAAGGCGGUGGUGCCAUUUGGAUAGCUCGUGCUGGAGUUGGUUUCAUCAGCUCCGAUGGCGAUGUGUGGAUGUUCUAAUUGCAUGGGUCAAGAAUCGUGGAAUUGACUAUCCGGCAAAUCAUUUUUGGUUUGGUAUACAUACUAUAUGUUCUGUUUAUGCAUGGUUGGCUCAAUUCAUUCAAUAAAUGAUAAAUAGAUCAAAUAUAAGAAAACCCAUAGGUCCCAAUUAUGACAUUAAAGCAACUUGCACAAUUUAAUCAGCGAUGGCAAUCUUUCACGCAAAAGCUAUGUACAAUAUGUGGAAACAUGAACUUACUUACAACAAUUAAACCUGCGUUUGUGUGAGGUUUAAUCAAUAGGGGCGAUCUUUCACGCGAAGGCCAUGCAUACGAGAUACCAUCAGAAAUAUCAAUUGUCGCUCCUGGUUUUCUUGCAACUAUGGAUAAGCAAGCAGAAAAUUACAGUAGCGUGGGCGACAAAGCAAAGUAAAGGAAAUUUUCACAGGUAACCAUUCACAUAUUCGUAAAUGUAUCCGAACAGCGUAGACAGCGCCUCAGAUUUUCAUCUGGAAACUGUAUAAGACUCGUUUUUGAGAUCUACAUGAAUCGAAAGCAACAUAGUAAAGACUGACCUACCAAAAUCGACAGUCAGUCCGUCUUUGCAGUAUAUUAGUCUUGGAAACCAAGACUAUGAAUCCUUCAAAUUAUAGGAGACCUAGCGAUUUCAGCUGCUGAACAUGCUCAGGUGGGAGAGGUGCCGGAGACCAAUCAGAUCCUGUCAUCUCGCCAUCAACAUCCUCAACAACAUACUCCUGGCAUAACACAUCAGAGCAGAUUCACAAGAAAAUCAAAUAAACUACAAUACACAAUGACUGCAAAAUUAAAUUUAAGAGUACAUAAGCUACAUCUUUAGAUGAUAUUUCAAAGCAUCAAUAACGCAAGCCAAUCAAAAGGCUAGUCAAAACAACUCAAAACAUACUUUAUUUUAUUUUUUGGCUAAAGAGAAUUAAUGGAAGUUUGGAUGCCAAAAAGAAGUGAAGUCAAUGUAAAAGAUAAAACCUCAGAACUUAUAAGCACACUUGUCAGGACAAAGAACACCUGCUUCACUUGACGCGACAUUUUUUUUUUCCCCUUCAAAACAAAUGAAAUUUUAUUGCCCCAUCCAUUGGUCUAUUAAUUAAACCAUCAUUCGUCCAAAAAAAAAAAGAUUAAAGAAGUGAUACUAUUUUUUUUAUAAUUUUCCAGUUGCUUGAAACAAAUCUAUUUUCAGCGGUUCAGUUGAAGCUAGAAAGUUAAUGCACCACAAUGAGGCAAUCUUUUUAUAACAUCGCAUAAAGAGGAAAAAAGUAGCAUCAUUAUCACCCAACUUACUUUUGUUAGCAUUCGUUUUGCAAGUAUGUGAUAAUGCCGCUGCCAAAUCCGCUGUCCAACCAUUGUAGCCACCAAAACACUGUAGAAUAUUCCAAUCACAGUAAACAAUCCCAGCACAAUCAAAGCCAUUAUGAAUAGCAGCGGUAGCCCUGCUUCACCAGCACCGCUCAGGCAACCACAUUCACUUGCUGUACUCGCACAACUCUCAAAGCAUGUGGUACAGUCAGUCCACAUACAAAGCGUUCCAGGCAAAUGGCAGUCUGCACAUAUUCUGCAUGCAUAACAUAUGAAAAGUAAACAUCAAGUUCAUCACCAAUUAGCUUUCUCCUGAUAAUCACACAACCUAUCAGAUACUUUUCCAAUUGUAAGAACUACUCAAUUAGUUUAUAUAUUUGAAAUAUAGGGGAAAAAAAAAAUACAAGUGAUUGUAAGUUCUUUCUACCAAUAAUUAACUCUAGCAUACACUCUUCAUACGCAUAAAGGAAAUCUAUCCCCAUAUUUUACACUAUUUUAUCAACCCAUAUUGCCUCUUGCCCCAGCAGUUGGCACACUUUCUCAUGACAUUAAUAAUAGGAACCUAGGCAUUAAUAAUAGGAACCUAACUUACAGAAAAAAAAAACUACACUGUUGUUUUUUUAUGCAUCACUCAUCAAUUUCUUCUUUAACAUUAAACUUUUUAUUAAACAAGUCACAACCAUGAGGUCAUUUAUCUCAUAAAUACACAAGAUGGGAUUAUGGGGCAAUGUAGACUUAAUUUGUUACAUACUGUAAUUGCACAUGCAUGUGUGUGCAUACACUUAUCAAUCUUUCUUCUCUCUCCCUCCCUCUCCUGCUCUCACAAUGCAAAUAUAAGAGAGGCAGCUAUUUCCACAAAAUACGAAUCAACUAGCAAAAGUCUAACCAAAAAAUUUCAAAGGAGAAACUCAGAAUAAAGAAGUUCAUUCCUUAAUGAAUUCAAAUUCACAACUUAUAAAACAAUUAUGCGCCUAUUUUCUAAAAAGAACAAAAGGGCAAAUGAUUAUUAAUCAUUCUCUGCAGAAUAUGAACAAUGAACAUGACUAUAUAAAAGAACCAACAAAUUAGUAUAUGCAGAUCCCUACAAUGACACAAGAAAAUAGGAACGUCUUAUAGGGCAUCAGUUGUGCAGAUGACAGCAAAUAAUGGAGUAGAGUUAUACCCGGGCUGACAGCAACAAAGACAUAAUUCUCUACAAGGUUGAGCCAAGUCAUUCCGCACUCUGCGGUCAUAACAGGUAAUGAAGCAUCCAGAUAACCCCAGCAAAGCAAAAAACAACAGUGCUCCUGCAGCAAAAAUAAAAAAGAAAUGUAAAAUACAGACAUCAAGAGCUUUGACUAUCAUGGCAGAAGAUUUAAACAAUGGUCAAACCAUGAAUCUAAAAGCAUCAAGUAUGCUUAGAAGCAUGCACAUGCCAAUUACCACUAAUGGAUAUAAUACUGUUGUUACUCUCUCCCAAAGCAAAAGAUAAUCAAGAUUUCUGCCAGCCAGCCGCGGGCACAAAACUGAUCCCAGCAUUUUGGUGCACACACGUAUCAGAUUCCCAAAAAGUCAUUCAACCAUCUAAAUCUCAAUCCUAGUCAAGAUUUUUAUCCCUAUAACUCAAUCAGAUGCCAACUUACUCUUUAAAACUGAAACGAGGUCUCACACUUCAGUUGAGAAAAUGUUUUGCUACCAAAAUCAGUGGCAGAGCCACACAGUGGCCAAAGGGGGCAGCCGCCGUCGCCGAGUUUAAUUAAAAAAACAUUUUUUUUAAUUUAACCCAAAUUUUAUAUUUGCCCCCAACAAAAUUUGUGAUUUUUCCCUAUUUGCUUUAAAUAAAAUACAUAGCAAUAGGUCUAAAACUUUAAUUUUUAUCAUCAAAAUCAAUUUAAACAAGUACAUUAUACCCAAAUUCAAUGAAAAUACUUGAAAAGAAGAUGGAAUUCUUUAAUUUAAGAAAGCUUCAAAUAGCAUUUGCACAUCAUAAAGUAUGUUAAAUGGAAUUUCAAAACUUAAAAAGGUUUAGUGAAACCCAAAAAUACCAGAAAAUAGAGGCAACCUUUAUCACCCAAAACCUUGUCAGCAAAUAUGAAAUGCAAGAAUUUUUUUUCAAAAUGAGUAUAUUUAAAUUCCAAAACAGUUGAGAUAUGACACCAUUUUUUCCACCCGAAGCAAUGAAAAAUUUACACAAAUCUAAAACCUCGCAAAGGUGAAUGAUGUUGUUCAGCCAGUUCUGCAUAAAACUUUAUUAAUCUAACUCUCACUUUCAGAACUGCCCCACUACAAGAAAAGCAUACCAGAAAAUAACAGAUAACAGAUAACAGCAUCACAUUACAUUACAUUGCAAGAGAUUUCAUCCCAACACAUAAGAGGAAUCAUUCCAUGACACUGCUAACCAGACAUAAGAUAUGUAGUUAAACUGGCUAAAGCAAGUAGCCACAAACAUAAUAAAGAAUAACCUGCAAUAAACAGUGUCCUACAGCAAAUUCACACAAGAUGAAGACCAGCACUGUUCGAAAGUAGCAUAUCAAAGCCUUAAUAAUCAUUAUCAUUUCAGGUUCUUGAGAUUUUUACCACAUAUGUAGUAGAAACUGAGCUCACUAUCAAAACCCCAUGCCAGACGCAGCCAGGACUGCUGAUAAGUAUCAACUAAAUACACCAAAUAUGCCAGUGAAGCAAUUACCUAAGCACAAUGAAUGAAAAAACAGGAAAAUGAAAAUCCUAGGGGAAAAAAAUAUUUACCAUUACGAAAUAACAAAAAUUGCAAGAAAACAAGUAAGAUUAAAGCACCAACAACUUACAAGCUGGACAGCCAGAAAUAUAGAUAUGAUGUCUCUAGUCACAAAGAAACGAAAUUUCAAGGUUCUCCAUCGCCUAUCAGCAGCAACAUGAACUCUCAAAUGGUAAGGGGCUUUACAGGUUGUGCAAUGAGCAAAUGCAAACCCUUCCUGUAAGUAAAAAAAUGAUUAAAUAAAAAUAGAACACAGCUAAAAAGAACCAUGCCAGAUAAAAGCAAGAACCACAAUGCAGCUAAAGAUCAGAAGAGUCUUCCCAGAAAAGAAAUUACUGGGUAAAAUCCAAAUAGGGCCAAAGUAGUAAUUCUUAAAUGGACGAAAAUGAUAUUACCAUAUGGAGAUUGUUUGCAAGGAGAAACUAAGAAACAUAAAAGAUACCAUUUCAAAAGGCUGUAUAACAAUACAGUAUGUUCUGUAUCCCAUUAAGUAAGUUUAGAGUGUCCAUAAAUUACAGCAUUGAAAUUUUUUGGUAUACUUUUAUAUAAAACCAGUUUCAGACUAUAAUAAAUCAGGUGCUAGCUACGCAAAGAUCACUGAGAUCACACAGAAACUAUAAACUGAGCAUACUGUGAAUGGUUCUAGAUUUCUAAACCAGAAAAUCGAGAUGGCAUCAAUACCCUUACGGCUCGCCAAUGAUCCAAACAUUCUCGGUGUACAUACUUGGAUGUUCCUUUGCACUUGCAAGGAGCAAUAAAGUCCCUACCUGAAGAAAAUGCACAUGAAUAUAUAAAAAUGAGAGCAUUGACAUGUAUUUUAACUCAAAGUUAAAAACAAGGAACAUACAAGAUUAUCAUUUAUCACUCUAUAACAGCCAGAUAACAUUGGCAUCAACAUCACAGUGAAAAGCAUUUCUGAACUAGACUGUGACAAAACACCACAACUACAAAACCUAAGUGUGUUUAAGAGUUGCUUUUAUCAGUCUCAAAUAGCUAAAAAUGCAAUCAUUGAUCAUUGUCAGAAACGCACAAAACUAUAUAUAUAUAUUUUUUUACUAGGGCAAAGCACUUCCAGGUGGUUUUCCAACAGAAGCACUCCCAAAAAUCAUCCCAUAGUUGACUUCACUUCAUAAAUUCCUAAAACCAACAAAAAAAUUUUUAUAAUUAUUUCCUCACAUUUUCCAGCAUUUAACGGAAAAAAAAUAACCUACUUAUAUUUUAUUUUAUUUUCGCAUAAAGCUUCACUGUGAAGUUGCUUCAUUUUUCUUCUAAUUUCAGUUAAUUCUCCUAAUUCUUUCUCGAAUUUGAAAAUUAAACCAACUAAUUCACUCACUGAUACGAAGCAAAAACAUAAAUAAAGCUAAAACAGAGCAAAUGUCGGCUACAAUUUUAAAAAAAAGUUUUACAAAAUUGAGUAAUUUCGCUACAAUUACCGUCAGUUUCGAGGCAAAUACGGCACUGAAUUUGUUCACCGGGGCCGGCUUCGAGGUCGAUCUCACUGGGCUCGGUGAUUGUCGGCGGCGGGAUCAGCGGCGACGCUUCGGAUUUGUCACCCAUCGAAAUUUAAUAAUUAAUUGUUUUUAAGGACUCGAAAAAUGAAAAUAGAGCGAGAGAGAUCAAGACUACAUUUACAGAAAAAUCAUUUAGUUAGAUUUCUUAAAACCCCAAUUUCGAUUUUAAAAAAAAAAGAAGAAAAUUUGUUGAAUUUUUUUCUUUCUCUCUCUCGCUCUGAGGGAGAGAAAUUUUCAACGUAAGUGACGGGUUUUUCUGGUGGCAAAAGAGAGCAUCAGGAUUUGUUUUUAAAAAAAAAUUAAUCAACAAAACAAACAAAAAGUUCCUACGAGAUGGUGGAAUUAUUGAAUUUCCAUAACUGCCCAUCUGUUUUUCACAUUUUGGCAAUUAAAUGAACUCUCACACUUACUGAGAUUCAAACACUCUUUUUAAUGGGUUAAAAAAUAAUAGUCAUCAUUUUAUAAUUUAUUACAUUAUAUAUACUUUUUUUCGAAUUAUACUUUUUUCAUCGACAAUCACUAUCUACAUCCUCAAAAUCAAAACAUUUAUUUCUUUAAUUUUAAAUUGAGUUAGAUUUUAAAUUUUAUAUGUCAAAAAAAAUUUACGUAUGAUACUCUCAUUAUAGAUAAAAAUUAAAAACUUUAAUUAUAUUUAAAUUAUCAUUUACGAUACUACCCAUUUAUAUUUAGAUUUCUAUUUACUAAUUAUGAAUUUACACACAAUAAUUUCAUCUAAUAGCUAAGGAGCUAUUAAUUUUAAUUCUAGUCUUAUUGCUCUUGUAAAGAGAUACAAAUUUAAGAAGAGAAAUCAAAAUUUUUCAUAACAUAGAAAUAAAAUAGUAAAUGACUCCAAUCUUGAAAUUGACUUCUGCUUCCGCGCGUGGGAAAAAUACAAGGUAGUUGAAGAUUUGACGUUAACAAUUAACAAGGCUUGGGAAAAAAAUUAAUAAAUGAAAAAAUAAAUCAAAUUAAAUUGUCUGAGCCCGGGUUCGAACCGGGGACCUCUAGUGUGUGAGACUAGCGUGAUGACCAACUACACCACCCAGACGAUGCCUAAUGUUUGGCAAGUUUUUAGUUUUCACUUUAUUUUGUAUUUUAAAGUCCCUAACCCGUUAAAAGCAACACAACCCAACACUCUGUUUUCUCCUCUUCCUUAUCAAUCUCACCGAACUCGAAGUCGAGAGCAGCUGAAGUGCUGAACCCUCUGUUUUCUCCUCAAAACCCUAGGAACGUUUUCAGCAAUGGCGAAAAUCAACAAAGUUAAGAAACUAAAACAGGCAACUACGAGCCAAAAACCCAACAAAAAAAUACUCAAAAAAGAACCCAAAUCCCUCAAAAAACCCGAACCGCCUCCCGUAGCCGCCGCCGCCGCCACCAGCAGCAGCUGCAGCUCAUCGUCCGAAUCGGAGUCUGAACCGGAGUCAGAAUCCAUUUCAAGCCUCCUCGAACCUUACUCCAAGGACCAGCUCAUCGACCUCAUCACCGCCGCCGCCACAAAAAUCCCGCUUUUGCACGACCACAUUCUCGAAACGGCCGACAGGGACGUGUCCCAGCGGAAAAUAUUCGUUCACGGGCUCGGAUGGGACACGACGCAGGAGAGUUUGUUGUCGGCGUUCGGAGGUUCCGGAGAAAUCGAGGAGUGCAAGUUGGUGAUCGAUAAGGUGACCGGAAAGGCAAAAGGGUUUGCUUUUAUUGUGUUCAAAACGAGGAAAGCGGCCGUGAAAGCGUUGAAGAAUCCGCAGAGGAAGGUGAAUAACCGAAUGGCGUCUUGCCAGCUGGCGUCAGUGGGCCCCACUGGUGCCGGGGUGAAGGAGCAGGGGGCGGCGGCACAGGGGGAGAGGAAGAUUUAUGUGAGCAAUGUGCCGAGAGAUGUUGAAAAGGAGAAAUUGAGGGGGUUUUUUGAGAGAUUUGGUGAGAUUGAAACCGGACCGAUAGGGUUUGAUAUUACCACUGGGAAGUCAAGAGGAUUUGCAAUUUUCGUGUAUAAAACUGUUGAGGGAGCGAGGAAGGCUUUAGAGGAGCCGCAGAAGAUGUUCGAAGGGCAUCAGUUGCAAUGCCAAAAGGCAGCUGAGGGAAAGAACAGGACGAGUAGUAAUAGUAGUAGCAGUAAUAAUCAAGCACAGAUGAUGAUUCAGAAGCAGCAACAGCCAAUGCUUCAGGGGCAACAGCAAGGGCAAGGGAAUGAGCAGGAGCAGGUGCUUGCUGCUAUGGCAGCAGCACAGAAUUUGGCUUUGUUCGGGCAGCAUCCGGGAAUGCAUCCGUUGUAUGGAGGGUUUUUGGUGAAUCCUGGGUUGAUUAAUCCAAUGGUGGCUGGUGCAUUGCAUCAGGGUGCAAUUCCUGCUAGUAAUGUGGGUGCAAUGGCUGGUUCGUCAGUGCUUGGAUCAUUCGGGCCUGGUGCUGCUCAGGGGUUGCAGCAGCAGCAGCAUGUUUAUCCGAAUGCUCCGCAGAGUAAGACUCAGGGGACUGGUGGUGGGUCAUUUCCUGGGUAUACUUCAUAUAUGUGGUAUGGUUUAUUGUCUUUGCUUGAUUUGUUAUUUGUUUAUAUUUUUGUGAAUUUUGAUCUUUUGCAUGCUUAGUUUUUUUUUUUAAUGCUUCUACAAUAUUUGUUGAUUUAGCACAUACUUUCUUUUGUUUUAAUAUGUUUUCAUUUAGAUUUGAAAAUUUUGAUAUUUAGUACUAUUAUGUUUAGAUUUUCUGAUUUCUUAAGUCAUUCUUUAUUACUCGAGAGGAAUUGAUACAUAAACCUAUUUAUAAAUUGGUUUUGGUACAUUGCUGUUUUGAGUUGCUGCAGUUUAAGAUGUUUUUACUCUUUAUAUUUUGCCCCCUGUUUAUCUUAAUGAGUCCACAUUUUUACCCAGCUUUUGAUUUCAUUUUUCAUAUGUGUAAAAACAACAAUAUUUGUUGUCUCUCCUUCUUUCUUCAGUCAUUCUUUGGCCAUGGUACUUGUUUUUAUAUUGCCAAGAAAAUUGUUGUCUUAUUAUUAUUUUUUUUUUUGGUUUUCUUCUAGUGAGUUUCUUCAAGAGUUCUUUCUAGUUUUGUUAAGUCUUCUCUGCAGAUUUGUCAAGACAUGGAAUUAUAUGCUAAUUUUUGUCACUUCUUAAUACUCUAUCCUAUUAUUUGCAAUUUGUAGAGUAGCUUCCGUCUCCUUAUCUUUUCUUAUUGAUUUCACUGAUUGUGGAAGUUGCUUUCAUGCAAUUGUUUCUCCUCAGCCCACAUCAUUCGUUUGAACGAAAAAACCCUUUUAUUGGUGUAGUUGAGUUAGCAUAAUCAAUUUCAUUUGUUCUGUUUGGUAGAUUUUUGGUCAAUAGUUGUGAUCUUUUAACUGUUUUGGGUCAAUAUGAUGUGUGCAAGUCUUGAUCUCUGAUUUUUUACUUUUUCGAGCCUUAACUUUUGGAAGUUUUUGGUAAAUAUAUUUUAUCUGAGAAGACAAUAUCAUUUAUGAUAUUUACUGUCAUUACGUGUGUGGGCUCUAUUUGCAGAUGAUACAGCUGAGCUUGAGGAACAAUAUUCAUGCACCUUUGGAAGUGUUUUAUGUAGUACUUUGUUCUGGUUAAAUUGCUAAGUGACAUUUUGAAGUUUGUAAUCUUUUUAAAUGAUUCAGACUUUUGAAUUCGGCCAAAGCAAGGCCAUAACUUAGUGGAUUUUUCUUCUUCUACUUCAUCUCUGCUUCUUUUUACCCCCUUUUUUUCCCCCCUCUUACCUUUUCCUCUCCUUGUUUCUUAGCUUUCGUAUAUUUUAUCUUCUAAACAUUGGUAACUUAUGGUUUUUAUUUAGCAAAUUUUAAUUUCUUUACAUUAUGGUUCAAUUUAUUUUCAACAUUUCAUUUUUACUUGUCAAGUAUUUGAAUGUCACACUAUGAAUUUAUUUGCUGUCAUUGUUCCAUCUGGCUUGUGAUUAGUCAAUGGUUUUGAAACGCUGGACUGAUUUUCUUUUCUUGUGAAACACAUCACUACUUUGUUUCUGAUUGACAUCAUUAACGCUUAGGCCUUAUUACAUAUGUUAUACAGUUGAUAUGAGAUACUCUUAGCAUCUAACCCUUUUCUUGGAUUGAGUUAGUUUCAGGACAUACCAUUUGUUUUCUUUCUAUAUGCACUCAGUGAAAGCAUUUGAAGGGAUGUAUAGUUGUGUUUCAGUGCAUCUGUAAACACUUGUUUAUCUGUAAUUAUUUAUUCAUGUUCAUUUUGUUAGUGUUGUGGACGUACUUGUGGAAAAAACCACUUACAAUAAAUAAAAGCAAACCAUAGGCCUACGUAUCUCUUAAUUCUUUAGUAUACCAAAGCAACUAGUUAACGCAGUCGCUGCCAUGCACUGUCAUUCAUUAUUCAUGAACAUCCUUUGAUGAAGUAUGUGUAUGGUUUGAACUUUUAGUUUAGUUGGAUCUCGAAUUGCAUUUUUGGAUCCGAAAUUAUAAACUUUUGGGAUGGAUCAACCAAAAACUUUAGUUUUGAAGCUUUUGGUUUUAAGAAAGUCUUAUGCCUUUUAAUCUAUGAAGCUUGAUGUAUUUUAAGAGUUGAAUAUUUCAGUAAUAUAUCUUAAAUAUUUUCAAUUUAGUCGAGUGUGAGACUAAAGUUGUUUCCAAAUGAAAUUAUGUAAACCACAUUUUGUGGUUAUCUAAUGGGUUUAUAGAUGGACUUUAAACAUUUUAAUUGGGCAGUUCUAUAUAUGGUUUCCUUGAAUCUGAUAUUUUCUCUUUGCCUAAUUAAAAUGUAUAAGAUCCAAGCCCAAUGAAACCAGUUAUAUGUGGGUAGGUAGAUCUGAAAAAAGAAUAAUCAUAUAAAUCUUCCACAUUUUCCUGUUAUAUUUUGUGAUGAAGCUAUGUUUUUACCACAGAUUCAAUCAGUUCUAGUAUAAUAUCAUACUAUUCACCGUUUUCUUUUUAUGGUGAUGGUUAUAGCGAUCAGCUUACUGUCAACUAUGAACAUGCUUGCCCACAAAUUCAAUUAGCCAUAUAAGCUUUAAACUUUUUUCCCCUUUGUUUCAAAUGCAAUCUUCACCAUUGUUACAUUUUUAUAGCCUUAGUUGUGCCUGUUGUGUCAAGUUCUCUUUGUUCAAUAUGUUUAUAUAGCUUUCCUCAUCAGCAGAAUCUAAGUGAGACUUUUUUACAGCCCUGUAAUUGUAUACAAAUUAUGUCGUUUGCUUUUGUAAUAUCAUGAUAAAAAUGAUGAUUUUGGUGUGUUUCAAAUAGCUGAUCUCAAAUUGUUGGUUCCAUAUUUCUUUCCUCUCUUGCAUUUUAUUCUCUACUGGCAGUCUUGUUCAACUGUGAUCGCUACAACCUCUCCGUUUCAAACACAUAGGUUUAUGUGUUGCAUCUUGUCGUCUUUUGCAAAUAGGGUUAUAAAAAAAUUUAGUGUUUAGAUAUUAGUUGGACUGCGUUGUGGCCCUAUAUAAAUAUGUCCUUUGCUUCUGCAUUUUCAAGAUUAAAUUUUUUUAAAAAAAAAUUGAUUUUGGUAUGUUUAUUGUCUCGAAAUGGUUGGUUCCACUUCCAGGUCUCUUUCCUCUCUUGCCUUGUGUUCUAUACUUGUAGCCAUUUGUAGUACAAUGUUGCUAUUUCUGUUGUUAUUUCCCCCUAGUCAAAUCUCGAAAAUCUCACAAAAACGACGUCGUUUCGUUUUGAUCUUUUUCUUUUUAAUUUUAGCUGCUAGCACUGUGUCGAGCAAUCCGUUUCAAAGCACAUGACGUCAUUCGUUGUUCUCCUUCAAUCCGUCUCAAGCACAUUGAGUGCGAGCAUAUUCUUUGUCCUUCGAUUUCCUUUCAACAACACUCCAGUUACAAAACCCUAAGUACAAAACUCUUAAAAUGCAAAACCUUAAUUGGUUCCUCAAAGUUGGGUGCAAAACUUUUAAAUUGCAAAACCCCAACUAGUUCUUCAAAGUUAGUUUCAAUUUGUACGUGGGUUUUGACAUAAGGUAACAUAUUAGUUUUUUAACGUUUACUUUACUUGAAUCUUGAGCUGGUUCGCGUGAUGGUUGUGGUUCGUCGUCUGUGGCUCGUAUGACGGCAAUUGUUGCCGGAGAACUCGAGGAAUGUUGAGAUUGUAGAUUUUGUGGCUGUGAGAGUUUAUUCAAAACGGUUCAUUUCGGCAUGCCCACAGCAGACAAUAUCUUAUUAGUUUUGGGUUAGGUCAUGACAAAUUGUAUUAGAGCAACUUCGCGUGUCCUCUUGAGCGAUAGUGAGGCAAACCUCAGUGAGGACAUCGAGUCCCUAAGAGGGGUGUGUAUAACACCUUAGGCAAAUCCUACAUCAGCAAAGUACGGGAGAGAUGUUGGGUUUAUAAGGGGUGAUCUAUACCUUAAUUAGCAAGUUGCGUUUUGGAGUGUAUAGGCGCCUUAGAAAUAAAAUCGUGCGGACUUUGUUAAGGUCUAAAGCGGACAAUAUAUUGUUAGGUCUGGGUUGGGUCAUGGCAAAAACAAAACCAAAACAAAAUGAACUGUUGGUUUUGAAUGAACUAGAUCUGGGUUGGUUUUGUUUCUUGAAGCCGAAACGAACUGAUUUGAAUAAACUCUCACAGCCACAAAAUCUGUAAUCUCAACAUUCCUUGAGUUCUCCAUCCACAAUUGCAAUUGCUCACAACUCAUAGCCAUCACAUGCGCCACAGAUGAUGGACCACAGCCAUCAUGCGAGAUUCAAGUAAAGUAAACGUUAAGAAAUCAAUGAGAUUCAAGUAAAGUAAACGUUAAGAAAUCAAUACGUUACCUUAUGUUAAAGUCCACAUACAAAUUUGUCGGGGUUCUGCACUCAAUUUUAAGAAAUCAAUUGGGGUUUUGUAAUUUUAGAGUUCUGUACUUAGGGUUUUGAACUCCAUUGGAGCUAGGGAAAAAUGGAAUUGCAUUCAAUUGACUAAACCACUUUUCAAGCGGACAAAAAUGCUUUCGUGUUCAUCUUUUAAGCUUUUAUUGAAUCGGCGAGGGCUUUUUUAUUUUUUCUAAUGAUUACAAUCUACAAAUAUAUUAUAUUCGAGGUCUACUAUGUAGGACUAUCGAGAAAGUUUGAAAACCCAAUGUCACUGACAAUAUGGGGCGGAAUCAUAUUUUAUAUUUUUGAAAAGGGCAAAAAGAGCCAUCGGAGCUCGACAGUCAACAUUAUAAUAAAGGUUGGAGUUAUGAGAGUUAAUUGUAGUCUUCUCUUAAUUAUUUUAUAAUUAAAUAAAAACAGUUUUUGUCCUCACGAAUUAUGAGUAGAGUAGAUAUCUCUUUAUUAAUGAGGGUAAAAAAUUUAAGAAUUCUUUAUAAGAUUAAUGUAUAUAAUUUCUAAUAGUAUAAUCUUAUUGUAAAUAAUAGUUAAUUCAGUUGUAUCAAUUGUAAUCUAUUGUAAUAUCAACAAUAAUCCUUCAAAUCAAUAUUAAGAAAAAAAAAAUUAUAACACUGUUUCAGAGUAUCAUCCCGCUAUUGUUCUGUGAGAGAAGUACUACUGGCAUUUGGAAACAGCGAUUUUGGCGUCCUUGCUUUGGAGAUCAAUGAUUUUGGUAUUUCUUACGAAAAGAGCUUUCCACUAAAAGCACUUUGCAAAGGCGUAUUAGUGAAGGUGACACUUGUUUCUUAUGAUGCAUUUAGAGUACUUUAUGAGAAAAGAGCUUUCCACUAAAAGCACUUUGCAAAGGCAUAUUAGUGAAGGUGACACUUAUUUCAUUCUAUGCCCUAAAUUUGGAGAUAUAAUUUGCUAGAAAUGUCGCACACAUGCUCUGAACCCUUUAUGCUUUUAAAAUGAAAAGCAACUUGAUUUAUACGACGGAGUUCGGACUAUCUGCUAAUUGUCAUUUUGAAAGUGAUUCAGCAUCAGCAACCAUGCCGUUAGUUCUGAGAAACCAAGAUUAAAGUAGCUAAAUCAUAAUCAUAACAUUCUUUUUCGGAUUAAAUCGUUGAUGCCGCAGCUCGAAGUUCUACAUUACUCUAAAUCGUACAAGGAAAUAAGAGAAUUAUGCUUAAAACCAUUACCCUAAAAAUGGCCCCCUCAUAAGCUAAACAUAAUCAUAGAAAGUUAAUACAAGUCACAAAGAGACAGUAUUUCGGAGGAGGCCCUGCCAUUUAUCUAGUUCACUUCUUCCUCUUCUUUGGUGGCUGAAGAGCUUCAUCAUCUUCGUCUUCCUCAUCCUCUUCAUUCUCUACUUCUUCCACUUCAUCCUCAUCCUCGUCCUCGCCCCCAUCAUCGUCGUCGUCAUCAUCCUCAUCAUCGUCAUCGUCAUCAUCUUGCUCUUCACCCUCUCCAUCUUCAUCGUCUUCCUCUUCACCAUUCUCUUCGGCACCGCCUGCCCCUGCCCCUGCCCCGGCCCCUUCUCCAGGACCUUUCUUGGAGUUACUUUUCUUGUUGUUGGAGUUAUUGUUGCCAUAGUCCCCUUCAGAUGAUAACUCCUCUUCACCAUCCCCAAACCCACCAUCUCCAUCCUCAUCAUCAUCCCCAUCAUCAUCAUCGCCAUCAUCCCCCUCUGCAUCAGAUGGUUUGCCUUGGGUUUCUGGAUCUUCCUUGAUUCUAGGUUUCAUAGUCAGCAAGGUCCAAAAGAGAUCCUAAGUCCAAAAGCCAAUUUUAUUGGGUGGAUGAAACAAUUAUAAUAUAUUAAAAACAAAGCAUUAAAUUAUGAUAUUUAUUGAGUUGGUACAAGUUAACGGUCCUACAAGCAGAAUAAGUUUGAUCUUUACAACUACUAUAUAAGGUAAAAUGAAUAGAAAGUUGCAAUUAUAUUUUUUUUUGGAAUAUUGAUGAAAUUAAACAAGGGACAGCAAAUAAUCUAAGAUUCUAAGUUCUUUAUUCUAUCAUCCCAAAAGCUUGGUCGCUAUAUGACCUUGGUGGCAAAGGAAUAUGUGUUCCUGCCACUUGAGGAAAAGAAAAAAGUGCUUUUAUUCUACCCAAAAGUAGGUUGAGGCAUUAAAUUAGUACAGUCCCACCCAUAUGCUCUUUUUCGGAAGAAUAUAAUUUAGAUGGUGACACCAGAAGAACAAGAACUAGGCAGGUCCCUUGCUAUUUUCAUCGAUUCCUUUACGAGCUAAAAUGGGUCAGAUAUCUGUAUACGAAAGAAAAGAAAUGGCGGCAGAAUAACAUCCCCUUAUCUGGGGAUCAAAGAUAUCUAAAUGGAGAAAUUCUCAUUAAUUCAAUAUUUAUAACUUGAAAAUUAUUUUAUCGAAACAAUUUAUAUUGUUGUCCAACACGCCUGAAAUUAAUACUAAUUCAUCUGAUUUGAUAGAAAAUUAACAAAAUCUCUAAAAGCGUUUGUUAGCGAAUCAUUAUGGAACAAACAAUGAAGAGGCUUUUGGCUAAAAGUAAUAAAAAAUGUUAUAUUUCAUAAAAAUUGUAAAUAUUAAUUCUACACCCAACGAAUAACACGUGUUCGACGACAAGGACGGCAUCGCCGAAUGGAAUAUUCGAUGUCCCAUCUUCGUUCAAUUAUAGUUUUUUGUGAAGACAUUUUGACUUUGGACUUCUGCAUAUUAUUAUGUUCCGAUAAAAACAUAUUUUAAUUAUUUUAAGUGGGCCCCACGACGCUUAAAACCCUGGAACUCAAAACCAUCCUAAAAUAACAACUAAAUCUUUCUCUCAAGUUCCGUUGCUUUUCAUUUUUCCCCCAAAUUUGGGAGGCGCAUGCUAGCCCGCACAGCGUACUAUGACUUUCCCUAUUUUUCAUUUUUCUUACCUUAAAAUUCACAAAAUUCGUUAUCUAAAAGAACUCCGAACUUUUGAAAAAUUUUAAACAAAAACAGUGGCUUCAAAAGUUCAAAUUUGUCAGAAAAUAAAUCCAAAAAUAAUGAAAUAUACUGAAAUCAGAUAUUAAAAAAAAAGAAAAUUUGUCAAUCAAUUUUCAGUUGCAGGAAUUUUUUUUUCAACGGCGCACGUUAGCCAACAAAUAAUAUGAUAACCAAAAUCAGCCGCGCACCCGCGCAAAGCAAAAAAGCACACAAACGGAAGAAAGAAGCGUUGAAAAGACACCACCAGAUACAGGCGCAUGAUAGCACAGCAACGUUAAAAAAAAAACUAAAAAUAAAGAGUUUCUUUGGAAAAACUUACCUGCGCUGUUAAGAGUUGAGCUUUGACCAGAGACGAAACUAGCCAAGUCACGAGCGCCUGCACCGUGCAGGUUACCGAACCGUUAUUGACCGUUACUGUCACUGAACCGUGGCGACUCGCCAUUUGUACGGCAAAGAACAGACAAACAAAUAACUAAAAAAAAAAAACCUGCAAAAUAAUUGUAAGCCGGUAACCGUUAGAUCCCCUUAUGAGCAGCUUUUCAGCCAUCAGAUCUCCUACAGUCCAGUAUCACUAAACGACAAAACGACGACAAAAAAUAGAAAUUUGCAUAAAUUUUUUAUAGAAGAAAUAAAACUGAAAUUAAAGCUUUAAAAAGUAAUUUUGAAAAUAUAGAAACGAUAAGAAACAACUUUAAUUCGGUGCAGAAGAAUUUGAACUUGAAUUUUGAGAUAAAUAAGCAAAAUUAAACGAAAUUCGCAUGGAAGAAGCUCGUUUUGAAAGAGAAAUGAAGAGCAAGAGCAGAAGAUUUGAUGCUCGAAAACAAGCUUUGAACUAGAGGAAGUCAAGAGUAAAAUUGAAAGGGAAGAGCGAAUCGGAGAGCGAGAGCGUACCGGAGACGGAGAUCUGAGGGAGGAGGGGCGAGAUCUGAAGAUUUGAAGCUCUAAAACUGAAGAAAAGAAGCAAAAGCAGCUGCGUUCAUUUUGGACCGUCCGAUCUUGAUCGAAGAGACGCUGGGGUGAGCAAAGAGAUAUAGAGAAUAAUAUCUAUUGCACACGAGAGAGAGAAGGGGGUGGGGGGUGGGGUGGAAGCGAGAACUGGUGAGUGACUGACUGAUUGCUGCCCGUAAUUUUCCAGUCACAGGUUUCGGGCAAAAAGGGGCAGGGCGGGCAGCGUCCUCAUCGUAUUAAAAUGACCUCUGGGUUCUGUCUGCCCGGAUUUCAGGGUAAGGACAAGUGUGGGUUAUCUCUGUGAUAUUUUAUUAUAUUAUUCGAAUUAUUUAAUGACUUUUCCUUCCUAUUACUUACCUUGCUUUAAACGUUUUCCACGUGGCAUAUUCUGUUUUGUCCGUUAGUUGGCAUGCGUGACCGCAGUUUUGGUGUAGUUGACUUUGGAUAAGAGUUAAUCUAACUAGAGUCAACUUACUUCGAAUGUAUAGUUGAGUACUUGAGUUAGAUCGAUCGUGAUUUCAAUUCAACCACUUCUAACUCUUGGGCCCACUUUUAUUUUUUUUAUCUUCUACUUUCCUAAAACUUUUUGGAUUUUUGUUUUUAUUUCAUUUGAUUACUUUUGUAGUUUUGUUGCAUUUCGAUUUUUUUUUUCUUUUUUGUCAAGUAGGGUGAGUGAAGUGAAAUCUAUACCUUUAGUCUCUAUCCGUUUAGGAUUUGAAUAUGAGUGGUUAAUUAAAGAAAAUAUUUAAAAAUAAUUAGAUGAAAAUCUUUAAAGACUAGUAUUUAAGAUUUAGAACAAUUAAUUUUUGGCAUAAAAUUUGUGGAAGAAAUAUAAUUGUGAAAAAUAAAUUAAAAGAGCUAACGAGAUGUAGCUCUUGUUACCCUUUCUUUUUUUUUUACUCUCAUAGAAUUUUUUUUUUUUUUUUGGGUUACUAAGAUCAAAUGGUUUAGGAUUGUUUCUUAUUGGAAAAUUAAAGCUAUAAAUUGAAUAAAAGUCACAUUUGUUAUCCCCAACCUUUGUUUAAAUAAUAAUAUGCAUAUAAACUUGGCAUAACAUUAUAAUGAUGUGAAUAAAUUUAGAAAUGAUAGUUUUGUGAAAAUGACGUAAAAACAAGCACACAAUAAUAUAUUAAUAAAAAUGUAGUGUUAGACAUAUGUAAUGAGUACUAGAAAAAUAGGAAGUAGUGUGAAUUUUGAAAAUAAUAAUAAUACAAAUGGGAAUGCAAAUAUUGACAUCUGAGGAUGAUGCGGUUAGAAGAACGGUGAUGGUGACAAAAGUCGUAGUUACACCAACUACUAAGUAAUCAACUUAAACUUGGUCAUUUAUCGUUUUAAAUAAUGGAAAAAAAACUGAUGUUUACUUAAUAACAUUCGAUUUGAUACAAAAUUUAUAUCCUAAAUGAUGUGGUACAUAAUAUAUCAUAUUUAUUAAUAUUGUGGAUCAUUUUAAUAAUAAUUACCAUCAUUAAUUAGGAUCAUGUUAUCAAGCAUACAUAUUUUGUAAGCAUAUUAUUACUCAUUCAAUAAAAACCUUAAUUUCACAAAAUUGCAUAUGAAAUAGAAUGAUUUAAACAUUAUAACCAAACAAUUGUAACUACUUAAUUACCGUCUUAUGUUAGUCGAUAUUGCAUUUUUAAAUUAAAAUCCAAUCGACGUUUACUUCAAAACUUUGAAAUUUAAUACAAAAUUUAUGUCCUAAAUGAUGUGACACAUGAAGUUCGUGCCACCAUUCAUUAAUAUUGUGGAUCAUUUCAAAAAUAAUGACCAUCGCUGGUUAGUAUCACGUCACCGAGGAUAUAAAUUUUAUAAUCAUAUCAUUACUCAUUUAAUAAAAAUCUUAAUUUCAUAAUAUUGUAUAUUAAAUAUUAUGAUUUAGAACAUUAUAGACAAACAACUGCAGCUACUUAAUUACUGUCUUAUGUUACUCUAUGUUGCAUUUUCAAAUCAAAAUCCAAUACGAUGGCCAUUGCAAAGUUUUCGGUCCAAUUUUGGUUCAACCCAAAAACAUUAUGAGAGCUCAUUUUCUAUAGAAGGUUUUAGCAAUGGUGGAGGCUCAAUCAUUUGGAAACAAUUUUAUAAGAACAAUGAUGGCUGAGAUGAACCUGAAAUAAGAAAAAAUAACUAUUUAGAGGUAACGCUAACAGUGACCGACAACGAUAUUCUGACGUAUAAGUUAGUUGGAAUUUGAAGGGGAUAUGGGGUUUAAAAAAAAAUCGUUUUAUAGGAGAAAAUGUGAGUGUUUAUGAUAGUGAGAGAAUUUGACUCUUUUGUAAGACUAACUUGAUCUUCUUUGGUGGGGUGCCCUUUAGGACAUCUUUGUGUAUUUUUGGACACGAGACGGACCGUUAUUGGUUAUUUUCCUCCUCCGAUAGAGAUUUAAGAGUAAUUUAGCCUUUCUUGUUGAGACUCUUGAGCUGUCUUGAGUUGAACAGUUGUCCUUUGAGGGACUAUCCUUGCUGGCGAUUUGCCCUCAAUCGUGAUUAGCUCAUUCCGAACAAACCAAUUGAGUUAGAGAAGCAUUUGAUUUUACUAGAUGUGAAACAAGUGACUAUACUUGCAGUUCCCCUUUGUCAUAUCUGACUCUUGUGGCUUAUAGUGAGAUAUUUGGAGACAGCCCAAGUGGGGACGAUGUUGUAAUGAUGUGGUGUGGCCUCAUUUGGUGAAGCUGUCAUUGUCUCUGUUGUCCAAGGCUACAUGUGGAGGCUUUGAUGCGUUGUAGGAAACAUUGUUUGUAAUUCUCAGGCAGCUUGAGUGGCUGAAGCUCAUUUUUUGGGAUCUUUCUAUUCUGACCUUAUCCUUUCAGUUCCUCUUCCAUUCCUUUCAAGCGCUCAAAGGUCAUGAGCAACAGUUUAAAUGGAGUUUUUUUUUUUUUUUUUUUGGCUCUUCCUCAUUUGUGUGUGUGUGUGUCUUUAUGCAGAGAUUUACAAUGUUGUCGUUGAUCUGGUUUUUCAGAAAGAGCAACGUGAUAUGAGUCCAUAAUAAUAAUUCGAUACUCAUCUAGUUCAUCUUCUACUUCUCCAUGGUACAUUCGUAAAUAAAUAGGCUACAAAGUUUUGAAAACCCCUCCAAUGGGGAUUGUCAUCCAGUAAAUAAAAGAAUUCAAUGAAAGUACGAAACUUAUGCAUUGAAUAGGCAGUUUUCGUACUUUCAUGUAGUUUUAUAGCCCAUUCAUUAUAUAUUUUUCAUGAGUUUUCAUGCAUUUGAUGCAUUUGAUGGAAUUGAAAUUUUGUUUUUUUUUUUUCAAAUUUCUUUCUUCUUGUCAAAGUACAGCGAGCAAAGUGAAAUCCAUAUUUUUAGUCCCUGUACUUUUUUUAUUCGAAUACGAGUUAUUAAUUUAAGAAAAAAAAUUAAAAAUAAUUAGAUGAAAUUCCUUGAAGGCUAGUAUCUAAGUUUUAGUACGUUAAGUUUUGGUAUAAAAUCCAUGGAAGAGCGAAAUCUAAUUGCGAAGAAUAAAUUAAAAGAGCUAAUGAGAUGUAGCUGAUGUUACCCAUUUUUUUCCCGUUUCAUGAAUUUUUUUUUUUUUUGGGCUACUAAGAUCAAAUGGUUUAGCAUAUUUCUUUAUUGUAAAAUUAAAGUUAUAAAUUGAAUAAGAUUCACAUUUGUUAUCCCCAACUUUUGUUUAAAUAAUAAUAUGCAUAUAAACUUGGCAUAACAUUAUAAUGAUGUCAAGAAAUGACAGCUUUGUGAAAAUGACUAAAGAAAAGCACACGAUAUUAUAUUAAUAAAAAUGUAGUGUUAGACAUCUGUAAUCAGUAUUAUAAAAAUAGGAAGUAAUGUGCAUUUCGAAUAAUAUAAUAAUCAUGAAUGGGAAUGCAAAUAUUGACAUCUGAUGAUGAUGCAUUUAGAAGAGUGCUGAUACCUAAUGGGGACUAAAGUUGUAAUUAUACCAACCACUUAGUAAUCAACAUUAAAAUUUGUCAAUUAUCAUUUUACAUAAUCGGGUGGAAGAAAAAUAUAUUAAAAUGGGUUUUAAUAAAAAAAAGAAUUAUUGUUAAAAAUAAAAAAUAAUUAAGAUUAAAAUUUAUAACAAAUGAUAUUAAUAAAAAAGAAACCGAUAAAAAUUUGAGAUUAGGAUUAGGGUUAAGGUUUCGGUUUUUGAAUUUCCCUAAAUUUUAUAUAUUCUUUAAGUUUUAGUACGUUGAAUUAUAUUUGUAACCCUUAGAUGGUAAUGGAAUGUAAACAAAUUUUAUGGAUUAAUUUAUCUUUUAGAUACUUUGAAGGGUAAAAUGAUAUUUUAUAUGGUAUAAGUAAACUACUUGAUUAAUUAUUUAUAUUCUUAAAAUCUGUAAACUCAAGAUAAGAAAAAAUUUAAUUUUUGAUUUUCACUGUGGUGAUAUUGUAAAAAAAAAUCAUGAUUAUUAUAUUUAUUUUAUAAAUUAAAAUAAGAAAAAAUUAAUUUAAAAUCUUAAAAGGUUUAUUACUAUUUUUAAGGGAAUUUUCAAUAGUAAAUUUAUUUUUGUCAUCUAACUUAAAAUAUGUCGGAUUUUAAGGGGAAAUGAAAUUAUCCUUAUUAAUCCCACAAUAUUGUUAAUUAGUUACGUUAUGGGCAUUCUCGUAUUUUACUAAGUCAAAUGAGUCAACUGUUAAAAAUAACAAUAAUUAGGGGAAUAUAAGGAAAAGAGGAGAGAGGAAAGUAGGGGAGGGAAAGAAAUAAAGGAAAAAAGACAAUUUCAUGUCCAACCAAAUAAUGAAAAAUGAAAUUAACUCUCUUUUUCACUCCCCCCAUUUGAAAUGAGUUAUUCAUUGAAGAUAACUAAAGUACCAUCCCUUUUGCACUUUUUUAUUUCUCGAUUUACCUUUAAUUCCCCCACCAAUUUAUCAUCUACAAUAGACUUUAAUGUUCAGACAAUCUCCUUAUUUUCUAUUAUGAAGCUCAUCUGUAGUUUUGCAAGGUCACACAUUAUUUACCCCAAUGUUCGUAGCCAUUGAGUCUCCAACACUUUAUCAUAUCCUCCAAUGGAAGAAUAUAAAAAUCAACAAAAAUGGAAAAAAAUCCCUUGUAAUAAUAAUUUAACAUUGGUGCACUUUCUCCUGAUGCCAUUACCACUUUAAAUUACUCUUUUAACUUCGAGUUGUAAUCCCACCUUCCUUGCAAUGUCUUCACCAAUGAAAUUAUGAGUGCUUCCUGAAUCUGCUAGAACUAUUGUUGUAAGUGGCCCAACAGUCCAUUUUACCUGCAUUGUACCCAAUGUCCUUGCUCCAAAAAUUGCUUGUAGAGGGAUCUUUGCACCACCUUGGAAUCUUCUAUAAUAGCAUCAUCCUCAUCCAUAACAACAUCAUUGUCACCAUCAUAACAUGCUUCAAUCAAAAAUAAUUUUUUGCAAUGGUGCUCUAGAGUGAACUUUUGAUCACAAUUGUAACAUAAUCCUUUGGCUCAUCUUUCUUGCAUUUCCGCUGGUGCUAAUCGUUGAACUAGAAGGGUUGAAUUGCCUGGAAUUAGUUCUUUUUUCAAUAAAUAGUUCUUUUUUCCCUCAAUAGUGAUAGUGUUGUGUCGCUAUGAGAUGUUUGGAGCUUUAUACAACUGGACUAGUCCAAUGGCUAAUGUCAAUGUGGUUGGUCUACCGAUAAGAAUGUUUGCCUUAAUGGUGUCUUUCAACCCACUGACGAAAUAGCUAACUCGUCGAUCUUAUGAAAGAUGUCCCACCUUAGCUAACAACUUCUCAAAUUGGGUUCGAUAAUCACCGACAAACCCAACCUAUUGUAAUUUGAUUAAUACGCUAAAAAAGUCUCGAAAUUAGGUGUCGCCAUACCUAGCAUGUAAGCCAUCACAAAACUCUUGCCCAGUCGUAAUGUCUCAUUCUUGAUUAAUCAGUUGGAACCAUAGUCAUCUCCCUCUAAAUGGAAUGAACCCAACGCCACAUGUUCGUCUUCUAGAGUUUGAUAAAGAUGAAAAAACUACCAAACUCUACAAACCCAACUAGUUGUGUCUUCACCACCAUUGAACUACGGAAAAUCAAGUUUAAUUAGCCUUGGAAUAUAUGACUGUUGUGUGCUACUUUGACGACCACUCAUGGAGUUUCCUGAUUGCCCUUGAUUAUGGAGUGGGGCAUUAAAGUAUUCUCCUUCCUCUCGUUCUAUAUUGGUCUCCAGUAGGGAACUUUUUGAAUUAAGCUUUCCAAAUAGUUCAUUGAUCUUCUCUAAAAUCUGUAGUUGACCAGUCAUAAGAGAACUUACAUCUUACUUUAACUUCUCCACCCUUUGAUCUAUGCCCAUUCUUUAAUACCACUAUGUUACGUACUAGGGGUUGUUCUCCUUUUGUUUGCUGGAACCUAUUGUGAAAAUUUAAAAGCGACUGAAAUUCGUCAGGUUUAUUGAGGAACUAAUGACCUCUGUACUUGAAUUAUUAGAAUGAAACUUGACUGAUCUCCUUUAUUCUCUAGUGGCUUGGAACAAGUAACCAAAAAAUUACAACGUUCACGUCCUGAAAAAUGGCUAAAGAGUUGUCAUUAACCUUCUGCAAUUACUUCCUACGAUAAAAUAGCAAUAGUUUGCAUUAGAUUGAGACUAGAGAUGGCCAAUGGGUUGGGCGUCAUGGGCACAACACGUGUCCGUACAGCACGGCGCGACACGUGCACGUUUCAGUAGGGCACGUGGCACGGCAUGGCACACACGUGGGCCAUGCCAGGCCUUAAAAGCACGGCACGAUUAGGAUGGGACAAAGUACGGCACGCGAAAAGACAUGUAAUAAGCACGCUUCAUUGGUGGGCUAAGCACGCGGCCCAUGAGCCAUCAAUAGUACGUGGGGCAAAGUAUAUUAAAGUAAAUUUUUUUAAUGAAAAAUAAAUAUAAAAUACCAUGAAUUUACAACUAUCUUGUAAUUAAUUUUUUUUAAUAUAUUUUUUUUAGUAUAGGAUUUUAAAAAUUAAUUUAAGUCGUAGUUUAAAUAAAUAUUCUAAUUUUUUAUGUUUAUAAUUUAUUAAAUGGAUAAAUAAAUAUCAUGAUUUUAUAAAUGAUAAAUAAAAAAUUUUAUGACAUUAAUAUUUCAUUUAUGAAAUCAUAACUUAAUUAAUAGUUAAUGGAGAUAUGUUUCAUUUGUGAUUGAAAUAUUUUUCAUAUUUAUGCACAAAAAAAUAAAAUUAUGAACAAAAUAUUUUUAUGAUAAAUUAAAAAUUAUAUUUUCAUUCAAUGGAGUUCAAGUGCAAUUAUAAUAUUAGUUGUUCAAAUAAAAUUAGGUGUAAUUGUUAUUUUAGGAUUGUAAUUUUAUUUUUCAUUAAUCAUUACUAUGAUUUAUGAAAUUAUUAUUAUUAUUAUUAUUAUUAGGCUGGUGGGCUUAAAAAAACACAUCAGGCACAUGGGCUUGAAAAAAACACAUCAGACACGUGAGCUUUUUUAAGCACGCUGAACAUGUGAGCUUAAAGUUAAAAAAAAAAUUGGUGGGCUUUUUUGGGCACGGCACGAGCGGGCUCAUGCUGUGGGCCAUAUCGGACCCUUAUAAAAAAAAGUGGGCCGAUGUGCCGACACGGCCCAUUGGCAAUCAUUUAUCUAAGACUUUGCGAUAUUUACUACCGGCAACCAAUUAUUUUUUUUAAAAAACAAUAAGACCAAAUAAAUAACACAAUGUUGUUGUUGUCGUUGACUUGGGAUUUGAAGAAAGAGUAAUGUGAUAUGAACACAUAAUAGUAAGUCGAUGCUCAUCUAAAGUUUUGAAAACCCCUCCAACAGGGAUCAUGACGCAAUACAUUACAAAUUUCAUGAAAUUACACAACUUAUGCAUUGAGUAUGUAGUUUUUGUACUUUCAUGUAGUUUUAUAGCCGAUUAACUAUAUAUUUUUCAUGAGUUUUCAUGCAUUUGAUGGAAUUGAGAUUCUUUUUUUUUUUAAAUUCUACAUUCUAGCACUAAAAGAAUUGAUUGCACAUAAUUUUUCUAUUUCAGUUCCCUUUUUCAUAUAUAUUUUUAUUUAAUGGUUAGUUUUGAAAUAUUAGAGAAAAUUAACUUCAACGAUAUCCAAAGGUAGCAUAGAAGGGGGGUGAUAUGAGAAGAAUACUAAUUGUUUCAUUUCUUUUUGUUUUCUUUGUUGAAGAAGGGAGGUGCAUCUACAAUACCCAUAGGUGAUAGCUUGUAUGGUGGACUUAGAGUGUGUUUGUUUUUUAACUUAAUUACUUAAAGUGACCUAACUUCAUUAAUUAAGUUAAUUAGAGGUGUUUAUUUUUAUAAUUUAAUGGGACAUUUUAGACAAUUUUACCUUAAUAAAAUAAGCUAAUUUUUUUUUUGGCUUUUUACUGAAUAGAGAAGUCUGAAUAAGCCAAUUAAUUUCUAAUAAAAAAAAAUCCCUACUUUUUAAAUUAUUUUCCAUGACUAUUCCAAAACUCACCCAUACACGUUCACCUAUUAAUAAUCUCAUCUUAUAUUAUGUAUUAUUAUUGAGAAUUGCUGAUAAAAUGUGAAACUUAUGGUAUUUUGUAUAUUAUAAUUUCAAAAUCAUUAUAUAUUCAAUUGAAUGUGGUUUUUCUUAUAUAUAUGUUAAAAUCUUGUGGUAUUUAUGUGCUUUAAAUUUAUUAAGGAUACAAAUGUAAAAGUACAUGUUUUUACUUUUUUAAGUUCAAAAAACAAAGAAUUUAAUACUUAUUUUAGAGAUUAAGAAAAAAAAUAUUACUCAAAUUCAAACAUUCAGGUCUAUUCAUAUUCAUACUAAUUUAAACAAUUUAGACUUUAGAUAAAAAAAAAAGCUACCUUAAUAUUAAUACAUAUAUAGUAUUCUCACUCUUUGUAGUCUUGUACAUAGUAGAUAUAAUUUUCUCACUCUUUGUAGUGUUGUACAUAGUAAUUGUUGAGUUGUAUUUAAUUAGUUUAUUAUUGAACAUAAAUUAUAAUGACUUUAAAAAAAAUGAUGUAAAAACUAGCCCACGAUAUUUUUUUAAUAAAAAGGUGGUGUGAGUUUUGUGUAUUAUAAAUCGAAUGCAAAUAUUGACAUUUGAUUAUGUAUUUAGAGGAGGGAAGGGUGAUAAAGAAUUAAAGAUAGUUAAAGAAUUAAAUUGAAAUCUGACUUCGAGAUUUUUUUUUUAAUUCCCAAAUCAUACAUGUUAUUUUAAACGAGAUGCCCAAUAAAAUAGAAAUAUUUAGAACCUUAAUUUCAUAAUAGUCAAAGUCCACCACCAUUAAUUAAUCUUUUGUUUAAUAGAUAGUGUAGCAGGUCUAGAUCAGACAAGUAAACGUCCUGGACGAGAGAAAAAGAAAAAAAUUGCAGGUGCCGGUUAAUAUCCGGUAUUAAAGCAACCGAAUACCGAAUGCCUGCCGGUUGCAGAGAAAUAUUUUAUUGCAUGAAAAUGUAAGAAAUGAAGUAAAAUGUACGCCUAUCCUGGCGAGCGAGCAGUCACGUGCGGCAAGUACAUUUUUCCAAACAAUAGCGAUGAUCCGUUCAGAAAAAUAGUAGAUUGAUUUUACAGCUUUGGUUGACUUCACCGGGAAGCAGGACCGGACGGAGGUAUGUGAAGUUCGUGAUUUAUAGCUCGGCACAAACGGAAAUAUGAAGCUUGUAAUUUGCGAAGGUGAACAAUAAAGCUUCAUGGCUAAGUCCGUGCAACUUUUGAGUGCAAUUAUUGAAGUGGAAGGAGAUGGGAAAGGAGAUAUACUGGUAGUUUGUUUGCGUUCUUGUAAAUCUGACUGUAUUUCAUGACCUGUGAGGAAAAUUAUUUGUUGUGCGUGCGGGUUCAACACUUCCGACCAAAUUUUAAUGCUUGGUCACCACCCUCCAAUCUUUAGUAAAUUUCAAUCGUUUUUGUUGUAAAUACUUGUUGGAGAUCCAUCAGCAGCUUCGUUAUCACGAGGGAUGGUGUUUAAAAAACUUGUAAUUUUCUGAAUAGGGUCGUAGUGGAUCACAGUCUUCCAAGUUUUGAUUCAUUUUACUGAAUGUAUAAAAUUAAGGAUUUAAAACAGAAAAAAGAUGUUUAAAUUAAACAUUUAAAUCGUACAUCGUCCUUCAAUAUUUAAAUAAAAUAUAAAAUUAUUUAUGAUUUUAUUAAGAUAUAAAUAUUUUUUAAAAAAAAAACUUGAAGACAACUCAUAUGUGUCUAGCAUCUUUAGCCAUCAAAUUUGGACCACCUACCAUACCCACCUCAAUAAGGUCCAUAACCCAUGAUGUGAGAGAAAAUGGUAUUAAUUUGAUCCCCCUUUGGUAAAUAAUUUCAAUAAGGUCCAUAACCCAUGAUGUGAGAGAAAAUGGUAUUAAUUUGAUCCCCCCUUUGGUAAAUAAUUUCUUUAGCUUCAACCGAAUUUAAAUGCUUGUAAAUUAAUUUCUACCGUGAUUAUAAAAGUGAACUAUAUAAUAGGGGUGGGCAUAAACCCACAACCCAUAGGUUAACCAAAAUCCAAACCAAAUUAAAUGGUUGAGGUUGGAUAAAUCAUGAAAAUUGAUUAAAUAUGAGUUUUAUAUAAAAAAAUCAUUUUAUUAUGGAUUGGGUAUGGUUUACCCAUAGUUUAUAGACAAAACCCCAACACUUAAACUUAUUGUCUAAAAUCAUAACUAAACUAAAAUUACAAUAUUAAUGCUCGUCGGUCUCAAUUCAACUUUAUUUUAAGUUUUUCUCGUUUCGAUAGCUUUAGUUUGCAGUUUGGGGAAUUUAUACAAAUAACCAUAAAAUUUUGUGAUUUUUUCAUUUUAACCCCACAAAUUAAUUUUUAUCAACAUUAGCCCAAAAAAAAUUCCAGACCAAAAUGCCCCUCUCACAUUUGUCCCCCAAGACUCUCUCUUUCACGUAAUCUCUCCUAAAGCCAAGAACACCCAUAGUCGGUGGCAACUUCACCCAUCGUUGGCGGCGACUCCACCCAUCAUCGGCGUCCGAUCUACCUUCUACGGCGAAGAAAAUCAACUAGAUUCAUUAUUUAACUUCAACAAAAUCUAGGUUAGCCAUUUUAUUUAUAUUUCAUUAAUUAAAAAUGAAAUUUUAGAAUAAUAGUGGUUGUAGUUUGAGAAUAAUGGUGUGGUUGUAGUUUGAGAAUAAUGGUGGUAAUAGUGGUUGUAGUUUGAGAAUAAUGGUGGUGGUGGUGGUGGUGGUGCUUGUAGUGGUGGUUGUUGUUUUGAGAGUGUGUUGUUUUGGGAGUGUGCUGUUUUGUGCGUGAUUUGUGAGUUUGUUGUUUUGGGUGUGAUUUGCUGCCCAGCAAGCGUCAUUUGCUGCCCAGCGACAGGCGCUAGCGCGCACAGGCGCGACCCUGUCGCAUCAAAUUACAAUUUUUAUUUUUUUUAACGUGAAGUUAAUUUUCCUAUUAUUUUAUUAUAAAUGCAAUCUAAUAAUGUUAAAAAUAUUAUAGAUACAUGACGAAAUCAGAAGUGUCAAGAAACAAAUUGAGCAAGAUGAAGUUAGCUUAUGCCGAUCACUUCCCAGGGCGAAUUUCAAGCAUGUGUAACUUUUCUACGGUCAUAAAAGCCAUCGAGCAAAAAUUAACAAAACGGCAGCUGCAUAUGUUCAAGAAAUACAUAUUUGGGCCUUUCUUGGAGUGCCAAAACUUUCCGUUUAGUGGUGUAAUUUUGCACAAUGUUUUGCUUAGGCAAGUGGCCCAUGGAGAAUACAGGGAGGAUAAUCAAUUAUAGUUUCAAAUUGGUAAGCAUUUGAUAUGCAUGUCAAUUGGAUAAGGGUGUCUGGUUACUGGACUUUCCUAUGGUGAAGAUACCGCACUAACAAAUAACAAGACGAGUAUUUUGGUGGUUUGUUUCGCAACAUCAAUCUUAAGCAAUUUGAUGCAUUAUUUGAGGAGUUGGAGUUCAAGGGUAUGGAAGACAUUGACGCAUUAAAGAUCACACUCUUUUACUUUGCGGACAGAGAAAUGGAAGAAAUGGCCACUGUCAAAUCAAUUUCUCAAGGCUGAACGAAGUAGAUGAUAUAAAUUACUUCCAAAAUCGUCCAUGGGGUCGUUUAUCGUGGGAAAUAAUAUACGAGAGUCUUGACAAUGCACUAUACGAGAAAGACGAGAAAUUUAAGGCGACUCGGUUGGAAAAGUCAAAUCAUAAAAUAGAAAAGUACAAUGUUUACGGCUGAAAUUGCAUGAGCACAUACAAGCUGAUCAAGCUGAAAUACUCUGCAGGAGCAAGUUUUCUUUUGUAGGUCAACUAAACCUUCCUUAAUCCCACCACCUACAACUUGAAAUCGAUGCGGAGACACUGGGCGAACGAUCAUUCUUUCAGCUAUAGUUUUUCUCUCAGUGACUAUUUCAUCCGCCCAUGUUGUUAGCCGAGUAGUCAUUAAUUCAGCGACAAUUUUUCUAUCAUAAAAUCAUUGCUGUAAUAUUUUCCUAAAGUAAUCAACAAGAUGAGUAACAUGAAAUUUUCUCGGUUCCCUCAUGAAAGAAUUAACACUCUCUACGAUGUUGGUUGUAAGUAUGUUGUACCUUCUACCUUCAAACUGAGACCUUACCCAAUUACAUGUAUCCAUAUUAUUUUCUAAGUAAUCAGCCGCACCCAAGUGGAGCAUCCACAACCCUUCAAGUUGUCUUUUAAAUUCCUUGUGUCCAUAAACUUUUGCUGUAUUAAUAAAGGCAGGCUCAAAUUCAUCCUAAAGAGCUUUGGACAUCCUAAACUUUGACUUAAUGUUACUUUUCACAUGGUAAAAACAAACACCAUGAGUUGCAUUGUGAAAUACUUUCAGAACGACUCUCAUUUUGGCAGUACAUUUAUCAAAGAUAAUUACCAACUCUAGCUUAUCGCCAAUCACUCCGUGUAACUUCAUCAUAAACCAUUCCCAAGCAUCAUUAUUUUAUGAAUUCAUGACCCCAAUGACUAACAGAUACAAUUGAUUGUUGCCAUCCAGACAUGUUACUACGAACAUGCUUCCACGAUAUAGUACAUUUAGAUGAGUACCAUCUACAACAAUGACAGGCUGAAUGUACUGCAUAAAACCCUUGAUAGAAGAUCCAAGUGCUACAAAGUAGUACAAGAAAUUAUCAUCUCCAUCUCGUUCGAGGUGAGUGACUGUACCCUCAUUCGCUUUAGUUAGUACGUUAGAGUAUUUAAGGAGCAAGUUGUAUGACUCUGCAGGGUUGGCUCGAACUAUUUCAAGACCAACUUCUCUAGCUCGAUAUGCCUGCUGAUAUGUUAACUGAACACCAUAUUCCUGCUGCAUAACUGCUCUGAUGUUAUUUGAAGUAUAAAUCUUCUUUUUUUGAAUAUAUUUAUCUGCAAUAAUAUGACCGACAACUCGGCUCCUUACUUGUCAACGACUAUCAACUAAUACCUCAUUAUGACAAGUGUAUACAUUGUCAAUUCUCCUUACCACCCAAGGAACAUUAUGCUCGUUCGAACUUCUAAUUGCUUGAAUACACCAUUUACAUGAUUCCGAACAACAAUGAGCCUCAAAACGUGUCGUUGUAGACCGUGCAAUCUUGAAAUCAAAUUUAUCCCUAAAGACAACCUUGCGCAGUUGUAGUAUUAAUUCAUUCUUCUCAGCGAAUAACUUACCUACACUGAUAUCAUCUGAGUCACAACUACUAAGAAAGCUUAGAGCAACUAUGUUCAAAGGCAAAAUUGGAGCAAGACUUGUGACAAUGUCAAUUCUCCUUAUCGAUCCAACCAUUGGAGGAAUAUAUCGAUUGUCUCUAUUAUUCACAAGAAUAUCGUCUUCACACUCAUCCUCAUGCUGAAACGACGGAAUAUUGGAAGGACCGGUUCCUCCAUCAUCACCUGCAUUAUUGAAAUGAGUGCCACUCAUAGUAUUAGAAGGUCCUGCACAAACAUUAUCCUUCUCUGUCUCAUCAACAGGAUCAUCAUUGUCUCAGAAAUUAUUGUUGUGAUACGGAGAAUACCGUUGCUCCAACGACGUCGUUAGUGGUAAUACAUCUUCUCUAACAUCCUCUAACGUAAUAUCGUUGUCAUCAAUGUUGUCAUUAUUGUUGUGGUUUGGAGAGUAAUAUUGCUACAAUGACAUUAUCGGGGCCAGACAUAUUUGCUCUAAAGGAAGUUUAUGUUCUGACGGGUGGCUCAACAUCUUCGCUCGGAAUUCGAGGUGAUGGGGUAAUGAAUAUAGGAAUGCAUUCAUAGUUGGCCACAUUGGAUGCCAUAUGCAACACAACCCUCACCAUUUCAUUAUCAAAUAUAUCCAUGGGCAGUGCACAUAUAUGAUAUAACGUGUUACUAGACAUCAAAGUUGUCUUCAUUGUGAUACUAUAUUCAUGAGGAUUUAUUUGUAACACUUCAUAUAUUCUUACCAAAAGCUAAUCAAACAGACAAUUUUUCCCAACAAAAAAAACUCUAUUUUUACCAUUUACAUACUUCAUACAGCCAUCCUCUAACGUCUCCUACCAACCAUCAUAACACAAUUCAAGCACAACUGAAUCCAUUAAACCUGAAAUUAUAAAAAAGAAAUUAAUUGCACACUAUCAAACUAAUAAAGAGUCAGUUGCAAUAAAUCUGCCUCUUCAAGCGACAGGCUGCCUGUUGCACUAAAUUCGUGCGAUAGACUGCCUGUCGCACAAAAAGGCAGAGUCGGUGAAUCUGCCUCUUCGUGCGACAGGCAGCCUGUCGCCCGAAGAGGUAGAUUGUCGCACGAAAUUUUCAUGCGACAGGUGCCUGUCGCACCAAGAUGCAAUCGCACUGAAACUCUCUCGCAAGUUGAGAAAAUAACUCUUACCAUCAGUGAUGCGGAUUGGUAUUAAAUCCGGAUGGAUUAUGAUCGGAGUUCACUUUUACCGUUCGCCGUCGGCGUUUGCCGUCGUCGGUGAUGAUUCAAGAGUGCAAGGCUGCGUUUGGUUUGAUAAAAGGGGAGAAGGAAAGUUGCUUUUAGUUUGUAAAUAAGGAUAAUUUAGGGAGAAAACUUUGUGUUUGGCUAAUGUUGAUAGAAAAAAAUUUAGAGAGCUAAUUGUGAAAAUAACAAAGGUUUUUGGGUUACUUUUGUAAAUUUCCCUUGCAGUUUUGUGGCAUCCUAAUGUUUCCCCACAAUGUGUAUCUUGUUACUCUUCAAAAAUUAAUUUAAUCACAUAAGUGAGCUUGACCAAUGACUGAUUCUGAAAUGAUUUUGCAUUGAUCUGGAGAGAGAAAUGCUUUGUGAGUUAGCUUAUCAUUUAAUUUAUUUCUUACUUUAACAAAAUAAAAAAAAACCCUUAUUAAAAACUUACUCUAUGUGUAUAUUUUUUUUCCUUCUUUGAAUUUAUUUAUUGAUGUCAUGUUUGUAAAAGCUUAUUAUUAGAAGUUACAUUCUCAUUUAUUGAGAAAAUAAUACUUUUCAUGAUUAAACUUUAUUUUAAUUUUCUAGUAUUCUUUAAUUUAAGGAUAAAGUUAUUGUAAAAUUUAUUAUUUAUAAUUUUUAUCCACUAUAUGUUUUUCAUAUUUUACUAUGAAUUUAAUAAUUAAUAAAAAUUAGUAAUUAUUAUAAAUUUAAUAUAAUUAAAUUUAUCAAGAUAAAAAAAUAUUUUAAUAAUAAAAUUGAAACCAAACCCAAAUCAAAUCUAAAUAGAUUAGUUUGGAUUGGAUUAAAAAUAUUUGAGUUGGUUUGGGUUGGACCCAAACUUUUAUGGUUCGGUUUGGGUUGACUCAAAACCCAACCCAUGUCCACCCCUCUAUAUAAUAUAUGAGAUGAGAUCAUGAAUAGAAUAUGAAAUUUUAAGAUGGCAAUUAUUAAAUGAAGAUGUUCGAUGCACGUCAAAAAUGAUUUAACGUAUGGAAUUAGUGAAGAAAAAGAAAACGAUGUUGAAAGUGAAAGAGAAAAUUAUUUUAAUUUCAAUAUGAGACGUGAAAUCUAUGUAAACAGUUUUGAAAGACGGAAAAGGAUCAUCAGUAGAAAUUGAGGGAAAAAUAAAAUAGAAUAUAUUGAGAGCAAAAAGUAAAGGAAAUAAAAUUAUAAAUGUGGGACUGUUUGAAUUGAAAAAGCCCCAAAAUAUGAAAACUAGAAUUCACGUGUUCUUUUUCAACCCAUGCUAUCCAGUUGCCUACUAACCACGACACUCGGUAUCACUGCCUUUUUAAUUUUUUAUUCUUUUUAUUUUACAGCCGUAGGAUUCUGUUCACCGUAUCCAACGAUUUAUUUAACCGAUAUGUUUCUAAUAGAAACUAUAACAUAAUAAGGUCCUAACUUUAAUAAAACUGCUUGUUAAAUAAUUUAAGUUAAACAUUACAGCCAAACAACUGUAGCUACGUAAUUACCUCACGAGAGUCUCACCUAAGUGGUCUCAUCGAGAAACUUCACUUGAAAACACAAUUAAUCUUCCCCUAACCUUUCACCAUCAAUUUCUUUUGGGUAUUUUUCGUUUUCUUUGCUUCCCCUGCGGUUGUGGAAAGUAAUGUACUAAUAUCCAUUCAUGGUGAUUUUAAUAAUAAGUAACAUUAAAACUUUUUUAGUUAAUAAUGGUAUAAAAAUUAAAAUACUAAAUGUAAUAUUAAAAUGUACGUUAUUAUAUUUUUUAAAAAAUAUUUUAUAAAUUAAUUGAUUGUAUAUUUUUGUAUUCAGUGGUUUUUCUUUUAUGCUGAUUACAUUAUGAUAAAAUAAUUAGAUUAUAGGCGACAUAUCAUUCAAAUCUUACUCCAAAAUAAAAUUUAUACAUAAUAUCAUCAAUGUCCUAAAUAAUAAACAUCAUUUCAUACAAAUUUUAUAAACAUUUACGACAUAGCAUACAUAUGAAGAAAUUAUAAGCGACACAUCAUAUAUCAAUGGCCGAAGAUUUUUUUCUCUUUUAUUCUCUAUUUAUAUUUUCCAACUUAAUACAAAUCAGCUAACCCUCAUUUGUUAAGUGUUGAGCACAUCCAUACUUCAUUUUGAAGUAUGCUCUAAUGAAUUCACUUCACCCUUGACAAAAUAUUUUUUCUUCUUUUUUCUUACAUCUGACUCAUUUUUAUAUGUUGGGUUACAACAAGUUUUACCUCUAUGUUAAAGCGAUUUAAAUAAAUCAAUUUUUCUUUGGAAGCACAAAAUAAUAUAGGAUAAGAAAUAGAUUCGUAUCCAAUAUUAAGCUGCAUUGUUUUGAUUUUUUUUUUUAUAAUCUUAUUGCGCAUCUAUAUUUAUAGAAGUGUAUUAUUAACAUUUAAUUAUAUAUUAUGUUCUAUCCAAUAAUUAUGGUCAUCAUAAUAUCAAAAAUCUCAACAUCGAGUCCGCAUCCAAAAAAUUAAAAAACAAGAAUCAUAAUUUAUAUAAAAUUUUAUUUGUAUUUAAUUAUUAGUCAUUCACGUUAAUUUGAAAUUUUUUGAGUGAUGACACACUCCUGGAAAGGGCACCGAGUUGAAAGUCUUCAUUCUAGAUCUUAUCUCCGAGAUAAACAUGUUGUAAUAAGAAAUGCAUAAACAAAUUGAAACGAAUGAUUCACAAACAAACUAUCUUAUUAAUUAAACUCCAUCAUCAACAAUAUUUUUAAGUUGAAUACCGCAUAACUUGAAAGAAAGCUUGUAGUCCUAACAAUAUUGAACAUAUAUACUUUUUUUUUUUAAAGGAACAUAUAUACUUUAUUUGAUAAGAUCUUCAUUUUCAUGUUUUUUUUAAAGUGAAAAUUCUUCAUCUAUAUCUAAAGUCUACGGGAAAGCCCAAAUACUAUUUCUUUUUUUUUUAUUAAAGAGGGCUCUUCAAAGAGAGCUAGACAGGAACAAAACGGGAAAGCCCAAAUAUUAUUUCAAGAAAGAUAUUGGAGGCAAGAGGUCUUAAACCCUACUUAUAAAGAAAAAAAGAUUUUGAUGGACUAUCAUAAAUGGGAUUGGGAGGUGGAACCUGAUGAGUUCAAACCAAUAUACUCUCUAAAACAUGGAAACAACUUUGGCAUAUACUUACUCCUGCUUAGAGUUGUUUUCAUGUUUUCGGUAGUGCAUCAGUCUCAACUAAGGGUGGGUGUUCGAUUCGAUUUGAUUUUGUUCGAACCAAACUGAACCGAACUGUAUUAUGGCAGUUCGGUGUAGUUCGGUUUAGAUAAUAUAAACCAAAUGGUUUAUAAAUAUCUAAAUCAAUUGAUGUUUGUUUGGUUCAAUUUUAAACCGUAUCAAAUUAAAAAAUCAAAUGGUUCAGAGAGAAAAAUUAAAUUAAAAAUUAAAAAUAGGUUUUAUGUUAACUAAUACGAGUGAUAACUAAUGUGAUAGUAUAAAUUUUAAAGUUUCUUUUAUGUGUGAUUUUGUGUGUUCCUUUCAUAUUUUAUUUAUUAUUGUGAAUCUAUAAUUUGUUGUGAAUUUCUAAGGUAUCAACGUUUGUUUCGUGCUUAACUUUAUUAUGUUGGUGGAUUUAAUUUUAUUUUGUUGUUUAUUUGUAAAUUUACGGACUCAAUAUUGUUGCUGUAGUAAUAGUCCAUUAGUAUUAUGUUGUUUAUUAGUGAAUAUAUAGAGUAAAAUUACUCAAACCAAAUUAAACAAAACCAAAACAAACUAGACUAUAUAACUAAACCAAACUAAAUUGAAUUAAUUUGAUUCGGUUCAGUACAGCUCUAGUGUUUGAUUCAUUCUUUUUUUUUUCACAAAACUGUAAAUCAACUGGUUUUGAUUUGGUUCGGUUUUAAGCAAACAUGUUUAUUAAAAGGGAGAUAUGACAACAUAUUGUCAAGGAAUGAGUAUGUUGUGCAACAACCCAUCCAGUACUUAGACAACUUCCAUCAUAAAAGUUGCUAAGUAAGCCUAAUGAACUUUUCAAGCUAGCUAAGAAAGGAUGUUUGUGAGAAAGCUAGAGAGAAGAGAGCAAUAUGGCCAAAGCGAUUUUUAUUAAUAGAAAGGGAGAAUACAAGAAAGCUUUACAAAGAUGCUUGAGUUGCUAGGUGUGUAGUGUGGUGUUGAGCAAAAUGGUAGGUGUCAUGCCCUAUAUAUAGAGUGGCUUGCCUAGGUCUAGAGUCUUUUGUGCAACUUGCACUUGCUUAAAUAUUCCCUAGUUUUUAGAAUAUAUAAGUGUAUAAUUAUCUAGGCAUUUACAAGUGCUAGUGUGUUGUAGAGAUUUCUAGAAUCAGGUCGGGGCUACUCGCUUUGGCUAGUGAAUUUGAAUUGUCCACUUGCUAAGUGCAUCACAGUUCACUAAUUAUACGAGGCAACCCACUGCUGAGCACACCCUGCUGCUAAGCGCAUCUUGCCUUUGGGCGAAUCUUUAUUAAGCAAACCCAUAUGCGCUAAUUUAGCUCUCGCUGUUGACAAAUUUAAGCGACCCGUGACAAUAUGAUGCAAUAUCGGAAGCCUUUUAUAUUUAGGUUUACUAAAUGCGCGGCGGGGAGAAUUUAGGGCUAAGAGAAAUUGUAGCUGCAUGGCUUUUGAAUUUCUUUGUGAAUCUAUCUAUUACUUAUUAGACAUAAUAGAAUAUUGGGCUAAUUGGGUAUGUUGGAACUUGGGCUUAUAUAUGUACGUCUUAUAUAUAUGUGCCGUCAUCACACAGGGAGAAGAAAAGAAAACUGUCAAGAACAUGAAGUGGCUGCAUCUAUAUAAAGAAGAAAAAUAAAAUUGAUUUAAGCGGUGUUUCUCCACUAAAAGAGAAAAUCAGGUGGCAACAAAAAGUUGAGUGGGGAUCAUUUCAGCACCCUCUUUCUAUCUCAAUAUCUUCUCCUCAGAUCAACCUCACCAUUUGUUAUUGGUAGGCACUUCUUCCGAGAAAGCAUACAAAUGCAUUAACAUUUUAACAUUUAGGAUAUUUGUUAACCAACAGUAGAGACUUCUGCGUCAUUUCAGAAAAUCGAGCUAGUGCAAAAGGUAUUAUCCAAGAUACACGUAUUUGAUUUUAUUUAAUUUGAUGGACACAGAUGAUAUGAUAUUUAUGGAACUUUAAAUGAAACUAUAUUUGAUUAGGGUUAUUUUUGUGAGAAAUGUGGUAAUCAUAAUAUAUAUUCUUUGUAAAGCAGACACUCACAUUAAGCUCGAUCAAAUAGAAGUCCAAAUAGAUGAAUAAAGUGCCAAACAAAUAAUAAUAAAAAAAAAAGAGGUCUGAUUAUGCUUAAUCUUAAAUACAAUGUAAUGAUUUAAGGAUCCAAAUGUCAACAUAGUAUACGCUCGAAUGACCCCUUCUCAUAAUGAGAAUGUAUAUAAUCUUAUUAUGAACUAGUCUUGUAUGGAAUGAACUUAUAAUCAUGGAAUCAACUCAAUUAUCAAAUUAUAUGUUAUAAGUUCAUAAUUCUAACCCAUUCCCAUUUUGUUCCAAAAAGAUCUAUUAAUUGUUUGAUUCUAAUUAGAAAGAGGGAUCUUAAACUAAGAAAUCGAUAUUAAAAACUAACUAAAAACGAAACGAAGGUAUUUUAAUAGUAUUCGUUGAUAUUCCUUGAAUAUUAGUUUCCUCUAAUAUAUUAGAGUUUCUAUCCAUUUAUCUACGCUUUUAAUUUUGUGGAAACAAAAAAUUGAAGAAACCUAUUUGUAUCAACGUUUGUCAUAUAUUUUUGUGUGUCGAAAAAAAUUGCAUUUUGAUCCCAAAUUCAGAAUUCACCUAAACUUAAGUUAUAUAUACACGGGUAUUUUGGUUUAUUUUCAAUUUCUUGAAAGCCAAUAACUUCCCUUACUCACCGGAUUGUAAUUUUGUUACAAAUUUCUAAAAGUGAGUAAUCAAAGAGGUGCUCCAUGACGCGCAUGAUGAUUGAAAAAAUUGCCCAAUCAUUGAACUAAAUAAAUAAAUAAAAUGAUUUACUUGUAGAUAUAUUGUAUAUGGUCCAGAAGCGAUUAUCAUUUUAUCAACAUUGCUUUUUUUUGGCUUCGACUUGUCUCCAAAUCUCUGCAUUCUGAAUGCAAAAAUGACUUGUACCCACAUACAUAAAUACAGUUAAUAUUUUUAUUAAUAAUUCGCACGUACUAUAAGCAAACGCAUGUGAGGAUUUUAUUUUUUUUUAAAUCUCUUCUAAUAGUGAAAGUCUUUUAUAUUGAUAAUUGAUAAUUAAAUAAAUCGGUGCACAAUAUUUAUUCCGAUUUUUUUUGAUUUUUUUUUUCAAAUAUUGCCCAAUAUAAAAGAGAUUCAAAUAUAGUGAUGUAAUUUCAACCAAUAAAAUUGAGUUUUCGACACUUUACCUUUUUGAUAUUUUAACCUUCAGCUUGUAUAAUAGGAGAUUUUCCAGUAAAAGCAGUUGAUACCCAUAAUAUAAAACGUAGAUUUGGGCAUACAAUACAGAUUCGAAGUAGUUCCACUCAAUAUUGAAUUAUCUUCUUUUUUUCUUUUUAAUGUAGAAGGGUAGGCACAGCUCCUAUUAAUUAUUUAUCUCUUAUAUUCCUUAGGAACUGAAUUUUUUUUUGGGUGAUUAACUACAUAAAAUUACUUAAAUUUUAAAAAUCACUCACCUAAGUCCAAGAAGCUAGCGUUGAAUUACUUUGAAUUGAAUUAUUAAGAAGUCUAAUUUUUGCAAAAUAUUAACAUCCGAAUCACUAGAAAUGUCUAGUUAUAUUUUGUCUUCAUUCAAUUUUGUUGGAUCACCUUCUUUUUUUUUUUUUUAAUUAAGGUGACAAUGCUUUAAUUCUUUUUGUGGCAAAUACAAGGAUAUCCACUUGUAUAUAUAUGAACCAAGCAAAUUAAGGAAAAAAAAAUCGCCAUACAUGAUUGAUUGAUGAUUUUUAUUUUUGUUUCUUUUGAUUGAAUCAGCAAAAUUUUGUGAUGACAACAAUUAGCCAUUCUGAGUGGCAACCGUCUUUGGAUUGCACUCAAGAAUAACACUACAAAUAGGACAAUAAAUAAAUAAAAGGCAAGUGUUUGCGUGACGUUUCCUUUGUGAAUUUUUAUAUAUCUCUUUAUGUGAAUCAAAUGCGCACACUUGCACAAAGAGAAAGAAUAUAAACGAAAAGGAAAAUCACUAAUGGAAUCAGCCAACCAUUUCAAGGCAAAGCAGUGUUUGGCACCACCCCCCACCAUUAUAUAUUCUAUCUUUUUUAGUACACAUCAUUGCCACUAUGACCUAAUUAACUAAUCAUUUAAUCUUGUCCUGUAUAUAUCUCUAACUAUUUAUUUCCUAUUAGAUAAUCCAUUGAUUUCAUAUUAAAAUCAUGAGAACAUUAAUUGUGAAACCUUAUGUGGCUAUUGGUUGAUUUAAGUGAUAGAGAGCUCUUCAUGAUUAAAAAAAGAAAAGAAAUUUUGAAAUUUAAAUUCCACUCAUUAAAAAAAGUAAUUUAUGCACGAAUGUUAAUGGGUUAUAUUAAUUAAUUAUGGCGGGUGCAAAUCAACGAACACAUUAUUCGGAAUCCAUUUUCGAAAUAUUUAGGAAUCCGCAGCAUUUAUAUUAAUGUAAUAUUAGAAAAAUUGAGCAGCCGAACCGAGAGUGACGCCAGUGACAAGGCAAAUAUGUUGGCCAUUUGUCGGUUUAAGAUUCUAAAAUUCAAAAGGAAGGUAAACUUUUUGUAAUUAACAGUAUGCGAUCCCUAUGGCUAUAAAAAGACACAAAGGUCAUAAAAGUAUCUUUCAUGUCCAAUUUGUAUAUUUGAUAUGAGGAAAUUUUAUGAGCUUUAAUUUAGGAUUAGAUGUUCUGCACGAUAAAGUCAACUUAAAUCUCAAUCAUAUAUUAAAAUUAAUGAAUAGAUAGUGCACAAUAUUUAAAAAUUUAGGAAAAUUUAAUGAACAAGUGAUACAAAAUCUUUAAAAAUUUAAGAGAGAACUUUAGUCUUUUUAUUUUGUCGAGCUUCUUUCACAAAAAUGUAAUUAAUUUUAUCUCUAAUUAAUAAUAAAAAAGAGAGAAAAGAAAAAGAAAAAUUAUAUCCUUAAAUCUAGUUGUGGGUUAACUAAAGGUUAAAUGUCCUUAUUAGGAUAUCACCUUGUAAAAAUAAUUACACAAUGAAAAGCGAUUGCAGUAGUUAAUUUAGAAUUGGAGGCCUAGAUAUUCCUCAGAGAUAUGGAUAAAUCAAAAGAGAAUUUAAAUGCAGUCUCUCUGCUAUAAAAUAAUCGAGAGAAGUGUAAAGUGUUUAAUAUAAAUUAAAUACUACGCAUAACAUCAAGUUGCUCCAAUAUUGAUAAGAUUAUUAAAUAAUUGGUACGGGGAUUUCUAUAAAGCUAGCUAGCUUAUUUUAUACAACCAAUUCUGUACGUACAUGUUAUAUUUUCAUCAAAUUCUCAUACGUGGUUGUCCUCAUUCUGCAAAUAGAAAUCAAAAUAAUACAUUAUUGCAUGCUGUAAAAUAAAAUAUGUAUAUUCUUUGCUAAGAAAAGAAAAUGCCGACGCUUUAAUUUGUUAGAAUGAAUUGAAUAAACUACUUAUCAGUAAGUUGUUUUUUAGCUUGAGCACAGCUAGGUCAUGCUAAUAUAUCUGUUACUGAAGAUAACAACAAGGAAUUUAUAUUUUAAAUUUUAUCUCUACUAAUAAUAAAUGUUUAAAAUCUGCAGCUACUUCAAUAAUUAAGUUGAGGUCACUCUUGUCUCCAGUUGGAUAUGAGGAGCCAAUUUUAGGGUUGGUGUUAGGUAAGAGAUAACCAAACUCCCAAUAAUAUUUUGUUAAAAGGAGAUGAUACAAAUAAUUAAUUUCUUUUUUGGCGAUUAGGGUUUAGGAGCCUCCGUAAUCACUAAUGGAUUGGCACAGCUUCUGUUUUAGCUUUUAAAUGACUUGGAAGGGUAUGGAGCACUGUCGAGCUGUCCCAUGAAAUCCAACAUUAAUAAACAUAACCCCUUCAUGCUAGUGAGAGGUACUUAGUACUUUCAGAAUUAUUACGUACUUUUAGAGAUGCAUGGGGAAAUCAUUUUAAUAAAUGUACUUGCAUGAAGAACUAUACUUUAAUUUCAAGAAAAAUUUAAGUGGGAUAAUCGAUAAGUUAAUGAUCAUUAUUUUGAAUUGCACUUCAUGCAUACUUGAUAUUUCUUAAUUUAGACACGUUCAUUCAGUUACGACAUACCCCACUUAUAAGCAGUUUCAUUAAAUGACGUAUUUAUAAAAAAAAAUGUAAUAACAUUAUUAAAGAAAAAGUUGUUUUUUACUUAGCCAGCAUUACAAAUUAAAUUGAUAUGGUAAUAAUUUUUAAUUACUCCUCGAGUUUCUCUUAAUAGUAUUUUAAAGAGUACUUUUAUAUACGCACUAAAUCUUGUAUGAUGAUGCAGUAGGCAUUGUUAAGCAUGGAGAUGAUGACAUGACUAGCACUGUUAAGCAUGAAUUAAUAUAAACCACAACAGAGAGAAAGUCAGGAAUCCAUGUGAUUUCGCAUAGUUCUUGGAGAUCAAAUCAAUUUGACAUUGUGUUCCGUAGACGAAUAUGCAAUCGACUUGUCCAAAUUAAAAGUAGAAUAAGAAAAUGACAUCUUCAAGAAGCUUCAAAUGGGAAAAUAAUUCAUACCACUUUUGCAAUUUGCAUUAGCACAGACUUUGAGGUGGCAUCAUCAAUUUAGUCACACGUUGACCAAAAUUCAUAUAAAAAUUUGAUAAAUAAAAGAGAAAAUGUCUAAGAAAAAAAAUGGUACCAUAUAAGAACUUCAAUUGUAGUUAGAAUAACAGAUUAAUUAAAACUGGAAUUAAUUACAGAAUUUGAAGGGAUUACAAUGAAGUUACCAAAUUUGUCAGCAAAUAAAACUAAUAAUUUCUCUUUAUUUGAUUGCUCCUUAAUAUUUUCUUUAAAUUAAAGAAAGAAACUCAAUCUUAUUAUGAAUCCGCAAACAAAAAGGCGCGUAUCACCUCGCUAUUUAACGACCCUUUCAUUUGCUGACGCACACUCCCCCGGCAAAACAAUCAUUCUCUCCCACGCUCGUCACCGGCAUUUGAACUUCACUCGCCCAAAAAAUACGAGAAAGAGAAAAUUUUGGGAAAAAAAAACACCUAAUAGAUUUUGGUAAUCCCAUGUGCCGGACCAUUUUAAUUAAAUUCUUACAAGGUGCGAGUAUUAACCUUUUCAGCAUCAAUUAGUAUAAUUAAUGCACCAGUAUUAUGUAUUCAUCAUAUAUACUAAAAAUUAAUAUCAAUUUAUACAUCAAAUCACACAAGUUAUUGUAUAAAAUUUAUUGUAUUUUUUGUAUACAAUUUUAUUGAGGUCGCCUUUUAGUUGAGCAACAAUUUUAUAAAGCUACAUCGCUUAUAAUAAUUACUAAAUUUAGUAAAAUAUUCAGUUUCACAUUCGACAUAAGAUUUAUCUUUUUUUUUUUCAAAUUUUCUAAAAUAACAAUGGGAAGAAUUUAUAUCACUUUUUUAACCUAUUUUUUUCUUAGAAUUUGAGAUCAGUCAAAGAAAAUUAGUUUACAAUUAUACAUUCAAGCUCCGAAGAACCGAACACAAAAUUUAUUUGCUCUUAUAUCAAUUUAUAUAAAUUUAUAAACAGAUACAAAUAGGCGUUGUAAGCACACACUCCAGGAAAGGGCGCGUAAAGGGGAGGAAGAGGAACCGGCGAAGUAUAAGGAGGAUAUAAUCAUAAUCUAUCUGGUACGCACAUUCAGUAGAUAGUGGAAAGGUGACAAGAGUAAAUAUGUCUUGUAAUAAAUAAUAAUAAUAAUAAUAAAGAUUAUUAUAAUAUUACGUAAUCUUUGACUCCAUGUAGCUUAUGAUAAACACAAAAACAUAUUCUAAUUUAUACCCAAUUAUUAGUUUUGUAAUAUAAUUUUUGUUUUCUUAAAAAUAAUAACAAAUGGGGAAGUACUGUUUGAGGGACUCUUUUAAGCUGUCGUGUUGUUAGUAUGAUUCUUCUAAGAAAUGAUGGGACUUAAACUUGUUGGGGUUUUGAUAGUGGGAGGAGUUGAAGAACAAGAUAAACGGUUGCUCUUGCUGGUUCGGUUUGCCUUUCAUUUGUUGGGAGUUGUCGUUUUGGGAGCUGUUUGUGGUUGAGGUUGAGGAGAGGGAGGGAAGAUUUUUAGCGGGAAAUUAAUUAAAGUUACUCUUUGACUCUCUCAUAUAGUCAUAUGCAUGUAUUGUCAGCAACUUUUGAAUUGAAAGGUUUGAUUUCUGUUUCUGUUUCUGCUUUUGUUUUGUGGGUGUGAUUGCUUUCUUUUUCCUGUUUGGUUGCCAAGAAAAGGGAAGGACAUGAAAGAAAGUUUAAAAUAUUGCUUUGUUUUUGCUCUGCUUUUAUGACUAACAACAAAGGUUUCUUUUUCUUUUUUUUCUUUUUUUGAGUUUUGUUAAGGUAAAAGAGGUUUUGCUUUAUUAUGUGUAUUUAGUGAUGAAUAUGUUGAAAGGUAGUUUGAGAGUAGAAAUUAUUUCAUUUCGGUUAGCUUAAAGUUCUUGCACUUGUUACAUUUUCUUGCUUUGAUUACGCUUUUGGAAAUAGUUAAGCUGGACAUUCAAUUCCAGUUUCUACUUGUUUCUUUAUUAUAUAUGAAUGAAACGGUAACUUGUUUGUCAUGAAUGUUCCUAUUGGAUUCAUCUACUAUUUGGCUUAUUGAAAUUGAAUUUCUUAAUUGCAAGAGAAGUGAAUUUUUUUUUUUAAUCCUUUUUUAUGUAUGCCUUGUUUCAAAGCUUCAAGAAUUGUGGAGGCAAACAAUUUGAAGGGUUGUUUUGCGGUCUAUGAAAUGUUGAUUUAAGUCCAACUGCUGAAUUGGCAAUUUUAGGUGUGUAGCCGCUCUCUGAUUCUCACUAGUUCUUGUUUGAACCUGUUCUCUCCUAGUUUGCUGUCACCUCACCGCUAUCUCUGCUUGCACGUUCGAAGGAAUAGCAAGCAGAAAACUACAAAAAGGAAGGGGUAGCACAUUGAACCUAGAAAAGAGAGUUGAGGGUUGGAACACGAGUAUAACAAAAAUUCUUGGGAUUAUUUGUAUUUUGUUCAUUUUAUAGAGCAGUUGAGUUGACAAGGGAAAUUUUUACCCCCCUCAAUUUUCUUUGUGGGGAACUUUAUGAUCUGCCUCCAAAUUUUGAAUUAUUAUUAUUUGUUUAUAUUUUUCUAAUGAUUCUGAUAUAUUUUAUGAAUGAUUUUCUACAUACUGUCAUAUUCUUUUAAGUCUAGAUAGCAAUCAGAAUUUGUGGUGCGUACAGGUCCACCAUUAACAAAUAAAUGGGGACAAGCAAACAGUAAACUUCAAUUAUGGAAUGACUUGGCUGUUUAGAGCUGAUCUGGACCUUUAAAAAAAAUUAAAUGAAAAAAAUGUAAUGAUUAUUGUCCAAACUUUGGAUACACUUGGCUACAUGCUGUGUGUUCUGCAAAAGCACAUUUGGUCCAAGUUGCUUCUAGCUUGUUGACUGGCUUUUUUAGCAACUUAGUUGGUUUGUAGUAGUUACAAAAAGUGCUAUUCAUUCUCUAUUUGUUUGACAGUUUGGAUAUACUGUUCCAUUUUAGACAUCAGGUUAUUAUAAUGCUGAAGAAGCGCUAAGAUUGUUAUGCAGACUUAAGAAAAAUCUGCAUUUACAAGUCUGGUGGUAUCAAUUCAUUUAGUUUCUUGGCAAUAUCAAAUAAUCUGAAAAUCUUCGUGACGUUUGUUGCAGCAAUUGACAGAUGACAUAGCAAACAGACGAGAAGGAAAAGGUGCUGCAAGUAUAUGAUGGGGUGUCCAAGAUAUUGACGCUUUGUUACUUCGUGAUGUUUUAGUGACUUAAAUUUGUUAAAUUAUAUGGGAGAAAAAAAAAAUUUUAUGCCAUUCUUGGAUUUCUUGUCUUUUGCUUUUUGACGUUAGCGGCUAACUGGUUCUAAUCAUGAGCAUGGAAUCCCAUAAUUUUAUAGCCCGUUAUAUCAGUGACCUUCUGUCAGAGCCUUUUUCUUGUUUCACCUUUGAAGUGGAGAGUGCUGUUUAAUUGAAGUCUUCCAUUAGCUGUUUAAUGUUUCUUAUUUUAGUUAUAAUUGGAGACUGCUGUUCAAUUUGAACCUUGUAGGUUCCCAUUACCUCUUGUGGUAUUUUCAUUCCACCGUUUUAUCUUUAUGUUUAUGCCUAUAUUUUGUUACAUAUGCCAAAAGCUUAUUUGACCUGAUCCUGUUAUUAGUUUGAAGAGCAUGAACUCUCCGUCCACCCAGUAUGUCACCCCAAGAAGGUUGGGCAUUUAUGAGCCCAUCCACCAGAUGAGCACAUGGGUAGAAAAUUUUAAGAGUAAUGGCAAUCCAAAUACAUCAGCACCUAUAAUUGUGGAGGUGGAUACAAGACUAGACAAUCAGGUGCAAAUUAUGACCCUUAUUCUUUUUGAUCUGGAAGUUGAGGCGAUGUUUCCAAACUGAUUCAUAUUUUUCAUUCAACUUUCUAGUCAGAGGAUACUUCUCAUGGAUCGCAAGGACCUUUCUGCAAGUACGAACAAGAAGCAAGUAAACCUUUUGACAAGGUAAGUUUGAUGAUCAAGGAUUUCUUCUCUUGUUCUAAUUUAUAUAGCUUCGAGUUCCUGCUAUUUAUCUUUCUACUUAGAAAAUAAUCCACUUCCUCUAGAUUUACACACAACUGAUGUACACAGUCUGAAUUUGGGGAAAUAUAAGGAAUGGCCAUUGUACCUCAGAAACUAACAGUAACAGAAAUUUUCAGUUAAAGUUUUGUACGUUCUCCUUUCAAUGAAUUCUCCAAUCAUAUGCUGAUUCUGUAUGUUUGUGCCUCAUUCACUUUCUCAUUCAUUUGAGUAUAAACACCCAGAGACUGACACAAUCAUGACAUCUAAGUGAUGUAGAACAUCCUGAAGAUGUAUGUGUGUAUAAAAAUGGAAGUUUCCUUUUUCUCCUUAUUGUAAAUCUUAUAAUAAAUGAAUCAAAGUUUGGAAUUUUUUCCAUUUCUUCCCUCCUAUCCUGUCUAAAUUUCUCCUAUUUCCUUCUAAAGUUCUCUUAUUUCUAUACUAUUAAGUCUUUCAUUUUCAUGUUGUCUUCCCUCAUCUACCUCUGCUCAAGACAGUUGACUGAAGUUUCAGCUAGUAUGAGGGAGGAGUUUCUUAUGGCUCUCCUUCAUUUUAACUGUUGAGAUUUAGUUUGGACACCUUUUGGUUGUUGUAUAAUAGCACGAUUUGUAAUGAACUGCCUUUUAGUUCAUAGACCUUCCUCUAGUCAAUGCAUACAUGAUAAUGGUUUACCAAUUUUAUCCAUUUCGUGAAUGUUUCUCUUCAACAUGAGAUGAUUCUGGUUUGCAUCUUUGUUGCUGAUGUUUGCAGAUACAGAGACGUCUUGCACAAAACCGUGAGGCUGCUCGUAAAAGCCGUUUGCGGAAAAAGGUAUAAAGGGGUCUGAAUCCAAACAGAUAUAGUAUGUGCAACUAGAGGUUUCAAACUUUCUGUUUGAUUAAUCUUUUGUUUGCAGGCCUAUGUUCAGCAGCUAGAAACAAGUAGAUUAAAGCUAGUUCAGCUGGAGCAGGAGCUUGACCGAGCUAGACAGCAGGUGUGGAGAAGAUGUGCCUUUUUUUUUUUUUUUUUGAAUCUAUUGCCAUGAUGAUUGAAGAGGGCCCUUUUCUCCUCUUAAUUUAAAAGUUAAAAAUGUUUGUAUAUUUCAAGUGGUAAAUGCUGCACUGCAGGGUCUGUAUGUAGGUAGUGGAGUAGAAGGUGUGCAUAUGGGGUUCUCUGGAACUGUAAACUCAGGUUUGUUUGUAAAACUGCAGCAUUUAUGAUGGUCGGUUUUGAUAUCUUUCCUUGUCAAAAUUCUGUAUGUUGGUUUUCAUGUCCUCGUGCACAAACAUUGCUAUGCCUUAAAAAUUGCUUGUCUCUGAUACUUUGUGGUUAUUAUGGUAUUUGACAUUCUUAAAUGCCCGAUAUAAAAUGUAAGGCUGUGGCAUUCUAAUCGUAAGCUGUAGUUGCUAUUCUUAUGGAGUAAGAAGAAUGCCGCACAGCCAAGUUUACUGUCAAAUAGUCCUGCUGUAAAAUAGUAUCUGGAAGCAUUUGAGGGCUAAUACAUACUAUCUGCCUUUUGGGUCCCUGGAAAUUCUCUUUGCUCUUCUAGAAUUUUGGAACUUGAUUGAGUAUUGCUUGAGGACCUCUAAUAUCCUCAAUCUGUUCCACUAAUAAAUAGAUAUGUUUUGUUUAACUGGAAUUUUUAGGAACUAGUUGUGAACACGGUAUACUAAAUUGUAGUGAUUUGUAGCCAUAGCUAAAUUUUAUGUAUAGCAAUGUAAUUUUGUUUUAGAAUUGUCUAAAGAAAAAUAAUUAAACUUUGCAUGGGCAAUUAAAGUAAAACUUAUUCUAAUAAAUGUGGUCAAAAUGUACAUGAAAUAUAUUUAUGCUCCUAGCUUACCAUCGCCAUUCAUUGUAUAUCCCUUUGUUUUCAUUUCCUGAAGCACCUGUUGCUUACAGCGCAUUGUUCUUUUGUUCUCUCGUGUUUUUGCAUUCAAUAAUUAGUCGUCAUUGAGAAUUCUGCAUGGUUUACAGCAUUUGAGAUGGAGUAUGGACACUGGUUGGAAGAACAAAGCAGACAAAUUUGUGAACUGAGGAAUGCUUUGCAAGCACAUAUUGGUGACGUAGAGCUCCGCAUUCUUGUAGAUGCUGGCAUGAGCCACUAUUUUGAACUUUUCCGCAUGAAAACAACAGCUGCAAAAGCAGAUGUCUUCUAUGUAAUGUCUGGCAUGUGGAAAACACCCGCUGAACGUUUUUUCUUCUGGAUAGGAGGAUUCAGACCUUCAGAACUCCUCAAGGUAAUUCUUAUUUCUUUUUCUUUUGUAAUUGAAAAAGUUGUCUUAUUUGGUGCAUAGGGCAUGUUGAUUUUGUGGUAGAAGCUGUGGGAUCUAAAUGUGCUAGGCUGAAUUUUAAGACUUGGCAUGAUUUUCAUGCCUAGAUGUUGGAAAAAAAAGCACCAUUUAUUAGGUAUUAUAUUUUCAUAUAGACAAUUCUUUAAUUUAUAAGCACAUCACCGACCUGCACCUACCCAGUUAUCUAUUUUUUUCUCUUAUUAUUUUCAAACUGUGACGAUCAUGUUAGGGUUUCCCAAGUCUUUGUAAUUUCAGUAAAGUAUAUGGUCGUAGCCUUUUUCUUAUAAUAUGGUCCUAGUUCUUAAUAUGUUAAAAACUUCUACACAUUUAUAUAAGCACGUGUUUUACUUUUACGCUUAUUUGAAAAGGACUAAAUUUCACUGAAUGUCACUAACACAUUUGUGUUUUUAACAGGUUCUUGUUCCUCAGCUUGAACCCUUGACAGAGCAGCAACUUAUUGAUGUUUGUAACCUAAGACAAUCAUGUCAGCAAGCAGAAGAUGCACUUUCGCAAGGCAUGGAUAAACUGCAGCAAACGCUUGCUGAGACUGUAGCAGCUGGUCAGCUGGCGGAAGUUGGUUACAAUCCACGUACAGGUACUGCAAUGGAUAAAUUGGAGGCUCUUGUCAGUUUUGUAAGCCAGGUAAGAAUCUGCAUUCUCUCAUUGCCCACUCAAGUGGUUUUCUUCCAUUUUCUCUUUGCACUUCCAAAUUCCAAUUUCUUCUUGACAUGUUUAACAACUCGACAAGUUUUUGCACUGCAGGCUGACCAUCUUCGCCAGGAAACUCUGCAGCAAAUGUCUCGUAUCCUAACAACUCGUCAGGCAGCUCGAGGGUUGCUUGCUUUGGGUGAGUACUUUCUUCGACUCAGAGCUCUGAGCUCACUUUGGGCUAAUCGUCCUCGGGAGCCCACCUAGCCUUACAGCUAGCUCGCACUCUCUGGGAGAUCAAUAUUUACCGGUUGAACAUUGUUUCCGGAAUCAGUGGUACAUCUGGGUAAUGUUGUCAUAAACAAAGUUUCCAGAAAUCUAGCUGCUGACAUUUUUCAAGCAGCCGCAUGCAUCCCGAGGAAUUGUAAAUACAAAUAGCCCUUUAAUGAUAGAGGAAAUUUGUAAUUAAAUCAAUUUUCAACGCGUGUUGUACAUUCGGUCAUCUUGGAACAGUUUUCUUUGGGUAAUAUAUCCCAUCUACAGAUGGAACUUUGUUGUGUAAAUUUUUGUAGUUUCCCCUUCCUGCUCUAAAUGUUUGAUUAAUAAACUGUCCUUGUUCAGGAAUGAGCAAGAGAUACUUAUGCUGGAAAAACCAGUGAAAUUUAAUGAAGUUUUGCUUAGUCAGUCCGUGAGCAUUAGUUGUUUCUUUUCUGAAGUUCACUAGUCACUACUAUAUUUAGGCUCCAUUUGUGAUUGCUGUGUGAUCCUAGCUUAAUUGCAAAAUAAUUAAAAUUUGCAGUAAACACCUACUUAAUAUUUAUCAGACGUUCAUCUAUUUUAACUUGGUAGUUAGGGACAGGUAGAUUAAAAAGUCACACAGCACUUCAGUUUCAAAGAAGCAGAAAUUGAAAAUGGGACUUGGGCAGCAAGAGGAAGAAACAACACACAUCCAAUUCACUAUGUUAACAAUGAGCUGAAAUGUCUGGACAUUCUGCUUGAUAUUAUUGAAACUAAGCUCUCUGUAGAGUCCGAUAUUCAGAGGAUUUGAAAUGUUACAUGAUUUUCCCCAGCUUGUAACAGAUUUAUCUUCACAACUUUGACAUGGAAUAGUCCAAAGGAUAUUCAGAGGAUUUGAAAUGUUACAUGAUUUUCCCCAGCAUCAACUAGAAAAUCUGCGUAUUUCAUUACAUGGAAUAGUCCAAAGCAUCAACUAGAAAAUCUGCGUAUUUCAUUAAAAAAAAAAAAAGGUAUGAUUAUUUUCUAAAGUUUUGAGUUUAAAAAAAAAAGAAAAAGAAAAUUAAUCAUUAUUGAAAAGUUUGUUCAUCAGGAGGGAGCUGUAACAAGUACCUGCAUCAUCUUUUGUAAAACACAUUGGUGGCUUAAUUCUGAAAACAUUUCCAUGUAGUCCUCCUUUGCCAAUGAGAACACCAAGUUCUUCAAUCAGAGACCAGUCAGCAGUUAGCAUCGGAGGAAAUUUGAAGGGGAGUGUAAUUCAUGGCACAAGAUGUUAAAAAAGUAAUGAAAAAUGAGCAACUUUUUAGUCGCAUGAGGUUAUGAGAGUUGUUGAUACCUCUAAGCUUCUCGAAUAAGACUGCAGUUUCUGCCUUGGCGGGUGUCUUCUCCUGCCUGUCAGUUACCAAUUCCAUCCCCACCAUUAGGCCUCUCCCUCUCACAUCUCCAAUGACUGAAUCAAGAUUUUAAGAAAGUGUGAGAAGAAAGCAUAAUGAAAUCACCACUCCGAAGAAACUACAUUCAUAUCAACUUAAUAAAUAGUCGAACCAAGGUCAAUAGAUAAGAAAAGAAAGAAAUGGACUAGUUCAAGAGCAAUUACUAUCAUGUCUCUCUUGUAAAGUUCUCAAGCGUCCAAGCAAGUGAGAACCAACAUCAGCACAGUGUGCUUGCCGCCUUUCUUUAUCAAUGACCCUGAGCACAGCAAGUCCACCAGCAGAACACACCGGGUUUCCACCAAAAGUGUUAAACUGAAUCUUUUGAGCCAUUACAUUUGCUAUUUCUGGUGUGGUCACUACAGCUCCUAAUGGCAAACCAUUGCCAAUUCCCUGAUAAAUGUUUUUAGUGAAAUGUAAAAGAAUGAUAGCAUGAUGAUACUCAAACAUAACCAACUAAAAGAAACGUCUAAGAAUAAGGACAUUGUAAUAAAUGAGAGUUUUAAGUUGAAACAAACGGUUUAUCUUAUCUUAAACAAUCUGUAUAUAAACCUUUGCCAUGGUAACUAUGUCAGGAAUAACCCCUUGUGUCUCAAAACCCCAGUAAUGACUUCCUGUGCGACCAAAUCCAGUUUGUACUUCAUCAGCAAUGCAGACACCUCCAGCCUUGCGCACAAUGUCAUAGACCAGUUUUAAGUAUCCAGGGGCUAAUUCAACAGCUCCUCCAACUCCCUGAAGCCAUUCAAAAUUUAGUAACAAAAAAUUAAAGCUACAAAUUUCUAGCAACCAAUUCAGGGUUGCCCUAAAUGCCAAAUUUACAAAUGUUUGGGAAAAAUUAUAGAUGGCACCUGAAUGGUUUCAGCAAUAAAACCAGCAACUUUUCCUGAAGUUCCAAAAUCAAUGUGAUCUUGCAAAUCUUGGGCAUAGCGGGCAGCAUCUGAACCAAAGCUUCCAUGAUAUGGAUCAGGAUUUACAACAUGAUGAAUUUCACCCUGCAAAUGGCCAGAGUGAUUGGGUAAGUUUCAACAAAUUAGCAUGCCUUGCCUGGUACCUUUCUCACAUACCCUAAGAGAAUGUAUGCCAAUCCAAAUGCCAUGCUAACUGUUUGUACUCCGAAAACACAAUUGGUAGACAAACCUGUGGAAUGGGAUAUUUCCAUGUAUUUAGAGCUGUCAGUCCAAUUGUACCAGAACUUCCACCAUGAUAAGCAUUUCGCAGGGCAAUCAUGCCAAGAUUACCUGUGGAAAGUCUGGCCAUUAGCAUUGCUAACUCAUUUGCUUCGGUCCCAGAAUUGACAAAAUAUACAACCUGCAUUUCCAAUUGAAUUAGAGGAAGCUUAUGAUACCCAGUUUCUUGGGGAUUUAAAUUUGUAAACACAAACAUGUCCGGGACGAAUUACAUAAAACACUAAACUCAAGAGAGAGAACCUUUAGGUUUCCAGGCAUUUUCGAUGCUAAAGCCUCUGCAAAAUCAGCUAUGGCAUGGUGCAAGUAUAUGGUUGUCGCAUGCUGGAGAAGCUUGCUUUGCUCAAAAAUAGCAUUCAGAACAUCAGGAUGACAAUGACCACAGGACACAGUAACUAUUCCAGCAAAUGCAUCCAAAUACCGCCUACCAUUCUCAUCAAACAGAUACUGCAUCUUACCUUCAACAAUAUUAAGCUGUAUAAUGAAAAUUAACAAAUUAGUGAAUUGCGUUUGUUGAAUAUCUAACCAGAAAUUCAACGUUUUAAGAAAUUAAGUACAUUGAAAUUGACCCACAUCAAGAUUAAUUCCCUGCACUGAUCGUUACCAGCAAAAUCAUAUAUUGGAGAAGUAUAUAUUCUAUCAAACCUUCAUUAAAACAGCAUUUAAGCUUAAUAAUCUCUAAGAAAUUACAAAUAACACAACUUAUAAACCUAAUAAAUCCACCUAAAGAUUAAAAAAUAUAUUUAUGAAAAAGAAUUCACAAGUUUUUCAUAUUAGUGCUAUAGAAGUCUAAAAAGCUCAAACUUUUAAGCUCAAAAAGAAAACUUUCAUUCAUUUUAUUACUAAAGAAAGAAAAAGAAUCCCAUUAGGAAAAAAAAAAGGGAAAAAACUAACAGGUUUUUGAUAAUAAUGAAAAAUAGAGGGACCCAGAAAUUGCUUUCGCUUUUGAAACACUUGAUCAGCCGAGGGACCCGUGUAAGGUUUAGGAUCAUGAUCAAAAGGCGGCAGCUGCGGAGGAGUAGUAGCAACAGCAGAAG